rnacentral:lncRNA from 1 species
AGCAUAAGUAUUCUGAUGAGUAGACUUAUCAGCCAGCUCGAGGCUGUUGUGAUGAGUAUUUCUUAGGGGCGUGGCAAACAGUUUAGAAUCAACCCUUUAUGUUUGGAUGUGUUAUUAAUGGAUUUUAAAUGAUAUGUAUCUUGGGUAGUGUUUUCUCAUUCUGUGCUAGUCGGGUACAACUUGCAAUUACUUUCAGUUUUUUUUUUUGAGAAAUACAGUCACAUGGAGGUAUUCGCUCUUUUUGGGAAUAUAUGCCAAAAGAAUAUAGUAUCUUAGAAAAGAAAUCCCAAAUAUAAGUCUUUUAAGAGGUUUCACUAAAAGACUACAUACGGAUGAAUAUAGGAACGUGGAUGGAUUCACUCAUUUUGCUCCGUAUAUAGUUUUCUACUAGUGAAAUUUCUUAAAAGACAUAUAUUUAGGAACGGGGGGAUCUGUGAGUGUCCAUGAUUAAAGCUUUGCAAAUACCAUAAACAAAACAUCACCUUGUACAUAUAAAGUGAUGAUUAUUUUUACACUAACCGGUUUGGCAAGUAGUACUUCCUUCGUAAAUAAAGAAACAUAAGAGUGUUUGGAUUAUCAUUUCUUUAGAGAGGGAGUAGUAUAUAUAUAGAAUUGAAUUAAUAAUCUCUACUCCUAAAGUAUCAGUUGGUCGUCUCUGUUCAUCGGUUAAUUUUCGUCCCACCAACACCGAUUUUUUUUCGUGCUCCCUCCCACCCAACCCCCGGGCCAUCGAACAAAAAAAAAAGGGUUGGCUUAGCUAUGCCCCACGAAGUCAAGGGGCCAAACAUCCGAUUGAAACAGAGAGAACCGGAUGAAAAAAAAUCUACGAAAAAAGACCUACGAAAUUAAACCAGCGAAAAAAAUGAAUCGCACGCAGGUAUACGAGCGAUUCCUCCUUCCUUCGAACCACUCGCACGCUCGAUCCCUUCGCCGCCGCCGCUCCAUCCCUUCGCCCCCACCGCUCGAUCCCUUCGCCGCCGCCCUCCCACAUCAAAGCCGCCACCGAUAUGCCCUGCCGGAUCUCGCCUCAGCCCCGCCGUCUUGUGAUCUGGAGUUCACAGCCUCUGCCGCCGAUAUCCUCGCACGCGUUAGGGUUCCUGCGCCGCCGCCACACAGGAGCUCGUCGACCAGCCCAGCGUGCUGCUGCUCCGCGCUCGCUUCCCUCGUCGGUCGCCUUUGGACCCCUCGCUUCAGACUCCGCGCCAAGCCGCCGCCUCUUUGCCGAGAAAGAGGGCUCCCGAUCUCCGCCGUGGUCGACCAUCAGCGCGAUUGGCAGAGCACCCAGCCCGUAGGCUCAUCCCCUUCUUGGAUCCACUCCGGCAGCGGCCAUCAUCGGUACGUUCCGCUCGUGAUAUAUUGGUGUAGGAUCAUCCCCUUCUCUUUAUCUAAAAAGGCUAUUCUACAUACGCCAAGGAGAAGAUGCUCACCUUCUCGCCCCUGUUGGAAAUAUGCCCUAGGGCAAUAAUAAAUUGGUUAUUAUUAUAUUUCCUUGUUCAUGAUAAUCGUUUAUUGUCCAUGCUAUAAUUGUAUUGAUAGGAAACAUAGAUACAUGUGUGGAUACAUAGACAACACCAUGUCCCUAGUAAGCCUCUAGUUGACUAGCUCGUUGAUCAAUAGAUGGUUACGGUUUCCUGACCAUGGACAUUGGAUGUCGUUGAUAACGGGAUCACAUCAUUAGGAGAAUCAUGUGAUGGACAAGACCCAAUCAUAAGCCUAGCACAAAGAUCGUGUAGUUCGUAUGCUAAAGCUUUUCUAAUGUCAAGUAUCAUUUCCUUAGACCAUGAGAUUGUGCAACUCCCGGAUACCGUAGGAAUGCUUUGGGUGUGCCAAACGUCACAACGUAACUGGGCGGCUAUAAAGGUACACUACGGGUAUCUCCGAAAGUGUCUGUUGGGUUGGCACGAAUCGAGACAGGGAUUUGUCACUCCGUGUGACGGACAGGUAUCUCUGGGCCCACUCGGUAGGACAUCAUCAUAUGCGCAAUGUGACCAAGGAGUUGAUCACGGGAUGAUGUGUUACGGAACGAGUAAAGAGACUUGCCGGUAACGAGAUUGAACAAGGUAUCGGAUACCGACGAUCGAAUCUCGGGCAAGUACAAUACCGCUAGACAAAGGGAAUUGAAUACGGGAUUGAUUAAAUCCUCGACGUCGUGGUUCAUCCGAUGAGAUCAUCGUGGAACAUGUGGGAGCCAACAUGGGUAUCAAGAUCCCGCUGUUGGUUAUUGACCGGAGAACGUCUCGGUCAUGUCUGCAUGAUUCCCGAACCCGUAGGGUCUACACACUUAAGGUUCGAUGACGCUAGGGUUAUAAAGGAAGUUUGUAUGUGUUUACCGAAUGUUGUUCGGAGUCCCGGAUGAGAUCCCGAACGUCACGAGGAGUUCCGGAAUGGUCCGGAGGUAAAGAUUUAUAUAUGGGAAGUCCUGUUUUGGUCACCGGAAAAGUUACGGGUUUUAUCGGUAACGUACCGGGACCAUCGGGAGGGUCCCGGGGGUCCACCAAGUGGGGCCACAAGCCCCAGAGGGUUGCAUGGGCCAAUUAUGGGAGGGGACCAGCCCCAGGUGGGCUGGUGCGCCCCCCCCCACAAGGGCCCAAGGCGCCUAAGGAGAGGAGAGGGGGCAAACCCUAAGGGCAGAUGGGCCUUAGGGCCCAUACCUGGUGCGCCUCCCUCUCCCCCUCCACCUGGCCGCCACCCAGAUGGGAUUGGGGCUGGCUGCCGCCCCUAGGGUGGAACCCUAGAGGGGGCGCAGCCCCCUCCCUCUCCCCUAUAUAUAGUUGAGGUCUUUGGGGCUGCCAACACAAGAGUUUUGACCUCUCCCUGGCGCAGCCCUGCAUCUCUCUUUCCUCCUCUCCCGCGGUGCUUGGCGAAGCCCUGCAGGAUUGCCACGCUCCUCCACCACCACCACGCCGUCGUGCUGCUAUUGGAUGGACUCUUCCUCAACCUCUCCCUCUCUCCUUACUGGAUCAAGGCGUGGGAGACAUCACCGGGCUGUACGUGUGUUGAACGCGGAGGUGCCGUCCGUUCGGCACUAGGAUCUCAGGUGAUUUGGAUCACGACGAGUACGACUCCUUCAACCCCGUUCUCUUGAACGCUUCCGCUUAGCGAUCUACAAGGGUAUGUAGGUGCACUCUCCUUCCCCUCGUUGCUGGUUUCUCCAUAGAUAGAUCUUGGUGACACGUAGGAAAAUUUUGAAUUUCUGCUAUAUUCCCCAACAGUGGCAUCAUGAGCUAGGUCUAUUGCGUAGAUUCUUUGCACGAGUAGAACACAAAGUAGUUGUGGGCGUUGAUUUUGUUCAAUAUGCUUACCAUUACUAGUCCAAUCUUGAUUUGGCGGCAUUGUGGGAUGAAGCGGCCCGGACCGACCUUACACGUACACUUACGUGAGACAGGUUCCACCGACUGACAUGCACUAGUUGCAUAAGGUGGCUAGAGGGUGCCAGUCUCUCCCACUUUAGUCGGAUCGGAUUCGAUGAAAAGGGUCCUUAUGAAGGGUAAAUAGCAAUUGACAUAUCACGUUGUGGUUUUGCGUAGGUAAGAACCGUUCUUGCUAGAAACCCAUAGCAGCCACGUAAAACAUGCAAACAACAAUUAGAGGACGUCUAACUUGUUUUUGCAGGGUAUGCCAUGUGAUGUGAUAUGGCCAAAAGGAUGUGAUGAAUGAUAUAUGUGAUGUAUGAGAUUGAUCAUGUUCUUGUAAUAGGAAUCACGACUUGCAUGUCGAUGAGUAUGACAACCGGCAGGAGCCAUAGGAGUUGUCUUAAUUUAUUUAUGACCUGCGUGUCAACAUAAACGUCAUGUAAUUACUUUACUUUAUUGCUAACCGUUAGCUAUAAUAGUAGAAGUAAUAGUUGGCGAGACAACUUCAUGAAGACACGAUGAUGGAGAUCAUGAUGAUGGAUAUCAUGGUGUCAUGCCGGUGACGAUGAUGAUCAUGGAGCCCCGAAGAUGGAGAUCAAAAGGAGCAAAGUGAUGAUGGCCAUAUCAUGUCACUAUUUGAUUGCAUGUGAUGUUUAUCAUGUUUUUGCAUCUUAUUUGCUUAGAACGACAGUAGUAAAUAAGAUGAUCCCUCAUUAAAAUUUCAAGAAAGUGUUCUCCCUAACUGUGCACCGUUGCGAAAGUUCGUCGUUUCGAAGCACCACGUGAUGAUCGGGUGUGAUAGAUUCUAACAUUCACAUACAACGGGUGUAAUACAGAUUUACACACGCGAAACACUUAGGUUGACUUGACGAGCCUAGCAUGUACAGACAUGGCCUCGGAACACAAGAGUCCGAAAGGUCGAGCAUGAGUCGUAUGGUAGAUACGAUCAACAUGAAGAUGUUCACCGAUGAUGACUAAUCCGUCUCACGUGAUGAUCGGACACGGCCUAGUUGACUCGGAUCAUGUAAUCACUUAGAUGACUAGAGGGAUGUCAUUUCUUUAGAGAGGGAGUAGUAUAUAUAUAGAAUUGAAUUAAUAAUCUCUACUCCUAAAGUAUCAGUUGGUCGUCUCUGUUCAUCGGUUAAUUUUCGUCCCACCAACACCGAUUUUUUUUCGUGCUCCCUCCCACCCAACCCCCGGGCCAUCGAACAAAAAAAAGGGCUCACUUAGCUAUGCCCCCACGAAGUCAAGGGGCCAAACCUCCGAUCGAAACAGAGAGAACCGGAUGAAAAAAACCUACGAAAAAAGAUCUAUGAAAUUAAACCAGCGAGAAAAACGAAUCGCACGCAGGUAUACGAGUGAUUCCUCCUUCCUUCGAACCACUCGCACGCUCGAUCCCUUCGCCGCCGCCGCUCCAUCCCCCACCGCUCGAUCCCUUCGCCGCCGCCCUCCCACAUCAAAGCCGCCACCGAUAUGCCCUGCCGGAUCUCGCCUCAGCCCCGCCGUCUUGUGAUCCGGAGUUCACAGCCUCUGCCGCCGAUAUCCUCGCACGCAUUAGGGUUCCUGCGCCGCCGCUACAUAGGAGCUCGUCGACCAGCCCAGCGUGCUGCUGCUCCGCGCUCGCUUCCCUCGUCGGUCGCCCUUGGACCCCUCGCUUCGGACUCCGCGCCAAGCCACCGCCUCUUCGCCGAGAAAGAGGGCUCCUGAUCUCCGCCGUGGUCGACCUGUUAGGUUGAUCUCUCCACCAAUGGGCCCAACGGCUCAUUGCGCCCUUGACCCACGCCCUGAUCGGGAGCGUCCAGCCCAAGCAAGGCUGGUGGGCCCCUAUCACGCAGUGCUAUAAAGAGGAGGUGGGGACCAGGGGCACAGGGUACGAGGUUCGUCGCCGCCACUGUUCCCCACUCCUAACCCUAAUCCGAUCCAGAGGGAGGCACUGAAGCGAUGGGAAGCGCCACCAGCCACUUCAUCGUCACCCUCUACACCAACCGUCGCUGCCCGUGCGCAGACCAUCACUGACGAACCAGCGAUGGCCGGAAGGCUAAGGUAGACACCCAAACAGAGAAGAUAUGCCACCGAUCUACUCCUAGUCGAUCCAGUAAGUCUAUCAAUGGUAUCAGGCCAUGUAGGCUAAGAAUUUUGGUACAAAGUGCAUACACAGAAAGAACAUCCCUCUCUCCCCACCCCUCCCCAAAGAACCCUAGCAGGGCAGAGACAAACAACAAAAAGAAAGCAAAAAGUUCACCGGCAGAGGGCCCAGGCCCCCGCCGGCAAAGUGCGCCGCCACUCCGGCCGCGCCAGUUCCUCUCGAUCCGAACGGGCAUCGGCUAGCCGAGCCGUCCGGACGAAGAACAACCCCGCAAGGGGCAAAGGGCACUGCGACCAAUCCGCUCGACAGCGGCGCGCUCACCGCAAGGUGGACGCGCAGCCGGCGAGGGGGAAGGCCACGGCGCCGCUGCCGUUCGCUCUGCCGUCGUCGAACUCGAAUGGGAGCAAAGGAGGCAGCAGGAUCUCUCUCUCUCUCGCCGGGGUGGUGGUGGAUGUAAAAAAGAGAACGGGAAAGGGAAGGGGGGGCUCGCGCAGCCGCAUCCCUCUCUGCCACUAGAUGCGGUGGACGGAGGGAGAAAAGGAAGAAGGAAUGAAAGGGGAAAAAGAAGGCAGCCAGGCUCGCGCGACGCAGCGCAGUGGUCGGUCGACACCGUUGCCGGCGUCCAGGGCACGGCACGGUGGCCCGGCGUUCGGGAUAGAGCGAGAGUCACGAGAGGGAGGUGAGCGGCGCACACGGGGGAAAUGAGCGAGGGUUUUCCCCUCGGCAGCGUCGCCAGCUGGUUUUAAUCCAGCGAGAUGCACGGGCCACCGUCAGAUCGCGUUUGACGACCAAGAUAGAAAACCUAAGGAGGAGCGGGCCUUUUUGGGCCAAAAGAGGCUGAGGCCAGCAGCAGUAUGGGCGUUGCCGCGCGAGCUGGGCCGAGGCCGCAGCCGCGCGCUGGGCCAGCUGCAAUUUUUUUUAGUAGUUUUAUGUCCAGUUAUUUUUGGGCAGAUUUACUAUAGCUUUUCUAUACAAAUUUUUCCAACGAAAAGUUUGUUUUGGAAAAUAGAAAAAAAAGGGUAAACAGAAAAGUUCUGAAAAUGAAAAUAGAAAAUUUUCAGAAAAAGAAAAGUUCAUGAAUUUUAUAAAGAAAUUUAAAAGUUCAUGAUUUUUUUAUUUGGUCAAAUAAAAGUUUCUAUAAAGAAUAUAAAGUCCAUGAAUUUUUUAUUCAUGUUUUCCGCUGCAAAAUAAAGAAAAGUGCUCUUUUAAGAGAAAAAGAAAAUUCUUAUGAAUAGAAUAUUGUAAAGUUUCGCUGCAAAAUAAAAGUUUUAUUCUCCAAUUAAAUUGGAACCAACAGGAAAAUUUAAUUAGAAGAACGGUUUUGAGAGAAGUUUUUUCACUUGUGGGUGAAAUCAGAUUCAUAUAGUUUCUGCUAUGACAGUAGAAAGAUAUUUGAUUAAAGGUUAAUUAUGGUAUUGUUAUUUUCUGACCAACGGUGAUGAUGACGAUAUUAUAAUUCUAUGAGUCUUAUGUUCAAAGCUUAAAUCUCUGAUAAAAGUUGUAUCAAAAUUUUCAGAGAACAGAUAAAAGAUCAAGAAAUGCUCUUGAACAAGAGAACUGUAUAUUUAUUGUUCCCGCUGUAAUAAAGUUGGUGAUGAUGGUUAUUUCUUAACAAAGUUGUUUAAUAGACAUACUAUGAAAAAAAAGUUUAUACUAUCAUCACAUUGUUUAUGAGUUAUAUGCAUUAUUUUCAUUUCCGCCCAACGGUGAUAUGGAAUUAAUGUAGAAGGAUGAUGUUUUGUUCUAAUUCUGCCCAACGGUGAUUUAGAAUAUAAAAGAAAGUUUUAAAAGUUUAAUGUGCAUAUUUUUUAACUAGUAAACAUGGGGUUAUUUUUAUGCUCAUUAUUGUUGAUUAUUGGUUAAGUUUUCUCAGACUAAAAGUUUUCCAUGCCUUCAUUCGUGAAAGCGAAUGGCUGGGUACUUGUGACCCGAGAGAUGACCAAGAAAGGUCAACGUAAGGGAGUAUGUUCUCUCUAGAGAAUGGCUUCAAAAGAAAAGAGAUAUAUAAUUGAGAGUCUUGCUCGACGAUGUCUUCAUGUACUCUCCAUGGAAAAAGAAUUCUCAUCUUCUAUGAGAUGCAAUAAGUGAGAUGCGUGAUUAAUUUGACCAACGUCGGAUUAAGCAUGUGUAUUAAAGAAUAUUCGGAUUUACUCCUAAAUUUGAUGAUUUAAUAUGUAUUCAAAAGAGCCAAUUCUGGCAUUUAUGUCCCUUACAGGGAAUUACCCGCAUGGCGGGAAAAGAUGAUUAUGAUAAAACCAGCAUGGCAGGAAAAGUCUGGGAAAAUCCCUGCGUAACCCGUAUGGCGGGAAAUUUUCUCAGACUUAUCAUGUAUGACAGGAGAAAAACAUGAUGACUCAUGUGCUUUUAAUGUGUCCCAUUCUGGGAGAAAAGUAUGGAGUAGCUAUUAUGCCUUCCUCGUAUCGACCGUACAUCUUAUGUGUAACGGUCAUUAAGCGCUCAAUAAAUCCGAAGAGAACAAAAGUUACAGACGAACCUGAAGAUAAGAAUGAUAUGCAAGUGUGACUUGCAAAAGUACUAAUGAUAAAGAACUCUGUUGAGUUUCUGAAAUGGAAUAAGGAAAAGGUACUCCCAUACCAGUUAACAGAUAACUUCAUUACAUAUGAAGUAAUCAAAUAAAUGAAGUAGAUACUCAAAGUUUCCUCAAUUCACAAGAGUUGUGAAUGGUUUUUCGAAAUUGUGGCAGAAAAGUUCUUGCCACAUUUCGAGGGGGAGAAAGAAAUAUGAGAUACCCAUUAAUGAAGAAUGUGAUCGUCUGGGGGAGUACGAUGAUCAUAAUAAUACCCCUAAAGAAAAGAAAUAGUUGUAUUCCUGGAUCUUUUGCAGUUCCGAAAGCAGACUAAGGAAUACUAAGACGAUGCUUAAAGUGCCAUAAAGAAGAAAAUUUUAACAGAAUAAACCCAAAUAAUAAAUUUUAAAGAUACGCCAUUCUUAGUGAAAAUGGAGUAAUCUGGAGGAGCAUGGUAUGAAGAUACCAAGACUCAAAUAGAUUGUAUCUGGGGGAGCAUGUUGUAUGACCUAUACAACACCCGUUGUUAGCUCUAUAAAGGAGGAAUGAUUAAACAUGGAUCUUGUGAUAAAGGUCCCUGUAAAACCUAUUGCCUCUUGGAAAUGAAAGACUAUAAAAUAAUUUGCCUCUUGGCAAUGACAGAGCAACAACAGCCCCAUAUGAAAGAAGUGCUAGUACCUGAGACUCAGAUGGUCUCAAGGAAUGAGAAAAUCAGAUACUUCUAAUUACUAUAAAGUCUAUGUUAGUGAAAUUCAAAUGGAGGUUGAUCCCACCUCAUUUAAAGCGCUCAAUCGAGCUUUGAGAAGUGUCUGCUUAUCUAAAUGAUAAGAGACUAUGUGAGAUGAAAAUUGGUGAAUUCUGACGAUGUUCGGGACUCAUAAGUAAUUUCCUAUGGAGCCAAAACAGUAGGCUGUUAAGAGUCAACAAGGACAAUGUGACUCCAAAGUAAAUACGUAAAGGUGUAAAACACGACUUAAAUCGAAAGGUUUUUGCGGGUUUACACUGAAUAGAUUACAAUAAGUGUUGGUAGCACAUCAUGAUCUGAGUUACAUCAGAUGAAAGAUAUUAUAAUUUGAGUUAUAUCAGAUGAAAAAGUAAAGAACACAGGGGAUACUGCCUGAAGAAGUCUUUUAUGGACUAAAGCAAUCAAAUGUUGUUUUGGGUUAAAGAAAAUGCGAGGACAAUUGUAUUCGUGCAAAGUUAUAGAAUGGGAAAUUCAUUUCCUAAUCAUGUGCAUGUGGAUGACAUCCUACUUGCUAGUGGUGAUGUCAACCUACUGCAGGAGGAGAAAAGAAGUUCUUGUCCUCAAAUUUCAAAAGAAUGUUCUCGGUAGAGUGUCUCUCGUUAUAAGUAUCGAGAUUCACGAAGAAAAGAAUAAAAGGGGGUAUUAGGGAUGUCGAAUGGACAUGCUAAGAAAGGUCUCUAAAGUAUGCAUGCGAGAAAACCUACGCCUGUUCUUACAGUCAAGGGUAAUGGAAGUGGAAGCUAUGGUGUUCCAAAAGUUGACGAGAAAAGAUUCAAACAUAUAUGGUACCAUAUGCUUUAGCUGUUGGAAGCUCAAUAUAUUGCCCUGACACAGUUCACAUAUCCGGGUUGUUUUGGCAAUGUCCAGUCCAUAUAUAGAUCACUGGAAUGGAGACAAAGAUAUCGGCCUCAUGCUGAAAGAAAUAAGUGCUCUCAAAAGAUUGUGAGUACAAAGACAUGACUUGUGAAAUGUAUAGCGAAAUCCACAAUUGUCGCUAACUUUCAUACUUGGAGGUUUUUGUGUGGAAAAGCUUCAAAGAAUGAAACAAUUAUCUUCAAUGUGAUGCAAAGAUAUUUUAUAGCUUGAUAUGAGGCUGAGGGACAGGCAAAAUGGUUAAGGAGACCUGUACCCGAAGUUGAUAAUGGUUGACAACAGUGAUAACUAUUAGUCUUUCGCUCCUGUGACAACGGGUCAAGUGUUGGUGCCAAACACAUUGACACAAAGUUAUACGUUGUUAAGGAGAAAGUCCGGAAUUAUGUUGAAAUGCUUGGAGCAUGAAAGCAACAGACAAGUAUUUGCAGAUCUGCUUAUUAAAGGCUUACCGCCCAGUGUGUUCGGAGAACACACAGUCGACAUGGGUUUUAUGGUAUAGUCUAACAUUUCCGGACAAUAAAAGGGCCCAAGGUUAAAGAAACUGUUUCAAAACAGAAGAGUGUGUUGUGGGUGUUGAUUCUAUCGGGAUAGACCGUGAUGAUGAGACAUGCUCUACAUGCAAAUCUGUGAUGGAACGAGUACUUUGAAAAGAGUUAUUUCGAAGUACAAAGUUAAAAGUAUAUGAUGAGAUCAAGGGGGAGAAUGUUAGGUUGAUCUCUCCACCAAUGGGCCCAACGGCUCAUUGGGCCCUUGACCCACACCCUGAUCGGGGGCGUCCAGCCCAAGCAAGGCUGGUGGGCCCCUAUCGCGCAGUGCUAUAAAGAGGAGGUGGGGACCAGGGGCACAGGGUACGAGGUUUGUCGCCGCCACUGUUCCCCACUCCUAACCCUAAUCCGAUCUAGAGGGAGGCACUGAAGCGAUGGGAAGCGCCACCAGCCACUUCAUCGUCACCCUCUACACCGACCGUCGCUGCCCGUGCGCAGACCAUCACCGACGAACCAGCGAUGGCCGGAAGGCUAAGGUAAACACCCAAACAGAGAAGAUAUGCCACCGAUCUACUCCUAGUCGAUCCAGUAAGUCUAUCACGACCAUCAGCGCGACGGGCAGAGCACCCAGCCCGUAGGCUCAUCCCCUUCUCCGAUCCACUCCGGCAGCGGCCAUCAUCGAUACGUUCCGCUCGUGAUAUAUUGGUGUAGGCUCAUCCCCUUCUCUUUAUCUAAAAAGGCUAUUCUACAUAUGCCGAGGAGAAGAUGCUCACCUUCUCGCCCCUCCCCCUACCGUGAUGUACGUGGAUGAAUCCGACGGCAACGAGGACGACCUCGUAGGAUCCAGCCACGGUUGUGCGGAAUUUCGCGGGGACGGAUCUACCCGGCCUCUCGUCCUAUCUGCCGCUGGUAGAGGCAUCCAUGUCCGAUGGUGUGAAUUUUGGCUGGUUCCAUGAGCACUUCGUUCCCUGCCGUGUAGUCUUCGUUGAUUCGGGAAGAUGGUGGUUGUCUGUUUAGCCAUUUCAAUCUGCUAUUGAUCAUGCUCAUUCUUGUUAUAUUCAGUUAUAUUGGAAACACCAUCUGAUUCAGUUAUAUUCUUGAUCAUGCUCAUGCUCAUCCUUAUUCAAAUAAGAAUACUUCUGUUUGGAGAGCUCGGGCGUCAGCUGUGUGGAAGCACCAGUUGAUUUGUAACUGGUCGGAAGGUGAGCUUCUCAUACUCGCUGCCGUCGAAGCACGGCACCUCGCCGCCACUUAUGUUGCGUGUUGUUGUGCUGUAGGUCCUUGGGGUUGGUUGCGGCAACUCGCGACUCGAAGACAUUUCGUGCAUGUGCUCCCCUGCGCUUGGUGACCAAUACAUCUACUCCGUCGUGAACAUGUGCUUCGUGUCAUACAGGUCGCCGCCAAGGGUGAGCUCGUGCAGCGGUACAGGUAUAGAUGUGCAUCCCAUAAGGGCAGCUACAGUUUCUUUCAUAAAGUUAUUUGUGUGAGUGCCCUGCAUAUUGAAGUAAACUGGAUCGGCUAAUCUUGAGUUCCUCUACCAAGUUAUAUUACUUCGACAAGAAAAGGUGCAGAAAGACCAUAUAAAGUACUCUGGUGACUCUCUCAAUUGAAAUAGAAUUUUUUUAGAUGCGUGAAACAUGCACAACGAUUUGCUCUAUUGAGUCUAUGUAUGUUGAACUAGCACUCGAAUUAUAGCUCAUGCCGGUAUACUAAUUUUCUCUUUCUCAUAUCAGCUCUCCUUCCUUUUGUCCAUUUUUCUUCACUACUACCUGAAGGAAACUGUACUGGAUAGCAGCCUAUCAUAUAUAGUUACAUGUACCGAGUGAUUUAGCUUCAUUUUAAUGAUACUAUCAACAACUAACUACUGCUGCGACAUAUUUGAUGCAACCUGUAAAAUAUUUUUUGUUUAAUUUCAGCAUAUCAUUUAUAUACUGAAGUCUCUUCUGGACAUGUUGUCUAAUUGCGUCAUGUAUGUUAGAUAUUUGUUCUAUAAUACUUGCCAUUGACUAUUUUCUUUUAUUUAGGUUAUGUGCAUUAUUGAUCAGCCAAUCUUGAGAGAGAGAUGGGUUGGCGUGAAUGGGAAGAAAACUACAUUGAAUGGACAAGAAGUAUGCCCUCAACUUUUUCAUGGUACUCCCUCCGUCCGGAAAUACUUGUCAUCAAAAUGGAUAAAAGGGAAUGUAAUCUCUUUUUAUCCAUUUUGAUGACAAGUAUUUUCGGACGGAGGGAGUAUGUCUUACUUAUUGUUCUUGUGAUUUUUCCAUCAGUUUCACUUUACAUUUCUUCUUUGCUUUUUCAUGGCAUCGGGAUGCCCACUGCCGACGGCGCUGCGUUGCUACCAAAGGGGCACCCUGCCGCGGCCGGGGACUCGCUGCCGUCGAAGCACGACACAUUUCCGUCACGUAUCUUGGGUGUUGUGGUGCUGCAGGUCCUUGGGCUUGGGUGCGGCAACUCGAGACUCGAAGAUGAUCUUCUGUGGUAGGGCGUCGCCGGCGGCGGCGGCACCUGUAUAGACCGUCUCGGUGUGACAGAAGAGUUCGGAGUUCACUCCGAGAAAGAAUUGCUUUGCAUGUACAUUUGCUGAAAGACUGAUGUGCUGAACUUUCGAUGAUUUCGAUUGGUCUCUAACAUAACCUUUCCUCUUUUUGUUGAUAUGUCCAAAAGAGAUCCUUAUUUCACCUUUUGUUUAUAGGUAUUCAACUUGAGGAAUUUCAUACUUUUGGAGUGGAGCUAUCAAAUAUAUGUGUGCUCGAUGUUGGUGUUUUAAUCCGGAUCUCUUGCUGAAGGUGCUCGAUGUUGGUGUUUGAAUACUGCUACCGUACUUCAAGGUCUGUAGCAGCUCUUACAAUGGAUUCUUUUUAAUGAUAGUACAAUUUAUUUUUGUUUCGAUUUGGUAUUGUUGUUCUGUUCACUUAACCCAUUCUGUAGCAGCAGCUUUUCAUGUCGUUUCCUCGCCAACAAAUGUCAUAAUUUAUCACAUACGUGUGCAAAUGGUUUUUUGGCUAUAGUAUGAGUAUAUGGUUCAGAGAAGUUCGGUCAGAUGCAAAGCAUGCUUAGCAUCUCAUAGUCGUAGGCUAUUCCUUUUAAAAUUGAAGCCAUCCAGGUUUUCAAUUAUGGAGAUGAUUUGGAAACUCAGCAUAGAAAAUUAUUUACUCUAAUGCAAAUUACACAUAUUAAGGCCUUUAUUCUUUUAUAUUAAGGAAUCCAGUGCAAGCAUUAGCCCAUCUUUAGCUGCUCAUAAGCAGUAUCAGUGAUAUAUAUAUAUAAGUACACUCUUGCUAAGAUUAAUCUUUGAUAUAUAUAAUUCAUUGCCUGGAUAUAGUUUGCUUUGAAUGUUUUUUUGCUCUUUAGUCUAUGAAGAAUUGCAAGGAGGAGGAUAAUAGAGCAGCAACCAGAGCUGACAAUUGGCCUGUAAAUGCAGCAAAGUUCUCCUAGAGGUGUGAUGUUGGUGGUGAUUUUCUUAUAUGGGGAUAUGGAUGUGGCGGGUCUAUGGGCACCAUGCUGACGCAGAGAAGGAGGUGCAGGUAGCGGGGCGCUUGAGGUGAGGUGGCUGCAGGGUCGCUCGAGAAGAACAGGCUCAUAAGCACCACCUGGAUGCCUUCGUCAUCAGCAAUGUGGACAAGGUGCAAAAGGGAUAUCUCCCUUACCUCUUAUUCAGCCUGGAAAAUUAUGCAAUGUUUGGUUUGGCAGAUUUAACAGUCGCUGGUUUGGAAAUUUGUUACGUAUAGAAGUAUAGGAAUAACAUGACUAAUAUUUAUUGAAUUUAUAGAGUUAUUGUUUUUUUCUACAAAGUCAGUUGUCACAUUAGAAGAACAUCGUCUAAAAUCUUGACAACAUAAAGGAGCAUAGAGUUAAUAGAUUAUGAAAUCCUGUAGUGCAUCAGAUGCACCCUUCACUAAUUUUUGAACACAUUUAUAUUAUCCAGGUUCCGACCUCAUUCCCUGUGAUGUUUGUCUUUUUUAUGUGGGCGAGGAAAACAUUUUUAGGAGUGAUACUCCCAAACUUUGAUUUCUUGGUUGUCGAAUCAUGGUGCUGAUUAGAUUUUACUUAACCUUAAUUAAUCUAUUUAUAUUGCGGCUUUGUCUUUUAGCUCAUCUUUUAGUUUCUCUUCUCCACUUAACACAAGAUUUUAUUGUAGGCUACCAAGUACAGUUAUACCACUUAUACUCUUUCUUUCUGAUUAUGCAAAGCUUGAUCUAUACUCAUUGAACUUUGUUAGAUAGUAGGCCCCCCUAUUAGUGUGCCUGAAUAUAAUUGUUUCUCCGUGUUUAUAGUAUCUUAGUCCAGUAGAAUGAAUGUUCUCGAGUAAUUAGAGGUAGUUGGAUCAAGUGAAUGUCUGAAUACCACUAAAAUCGAAAUCAUAAUUAAAAAAUACUGACCUUUUUCUUCAGGGCGUCUGUUCCUCCUCCCAUGGUCAGCACCACCACCUACUCUGAAUCUCCGAUCAGAAUAGUAUGAACUAUUAAAUAGGGAACUUAAUGCUUAUCAUUGUUGAUGUACAUAUGUACAACUAACAAUGUGUGUGCUGCAACCAGCUUACUUUAUUCCUUACUGAAAUUUAUCUUGAUUUAUUUCACAUCAGAUAGUUCUGAACCUAGAUGAUCUCAAUUAAGGUCAUUGAAAUUUGUUAAAUUAUUUUUAUCCGCUCUUCUGAACGAGCGUAUACUAUGAUCUGAUUUGUAUAUCAUAUUACUGAGGCAGCGCUGGGCCAUGUUGUGGUGAGAACAUACGAGAGAUAAUUGGGGUGUGUGGCUGAUUGCUUCAUAUGCUGCUAAUCAUAUAUGUAGACUGCUGAUUGCUCCUGAUAUACAGUGUCGAUUGCAGCUGAUAGUAGGAUUGUACUCAAUUUGAUAGGUAAAGUGGGAUGGCGGGAUUGUAUAGUGCUCAUAAGCCAGUCCGGGCAUUGUCCUUCCUCGAAUGAAUCUGAGACUACUCCUCAUAUGUUAAUCAGUUGCUCCUCCCUAGCUUUGGUUUGGUCUGAACUUCAAAGUUUUCAUCCAUUCAACGUUGAUUCAGUCAAAGAUCUCUUGGAAAAAUUAUUUCGACAAGAUUCACUCUAUAAUGUUGUUAUCAUUGUCCUCUGGAAUAUAAGGAAGCGCAAAAACUCCAAGGUCUCCUGGGAUGUUUUUGAGGAAUUGCACAUUACUGCUAGCAAGAUUGCUGCUGAUUGAUACCAUGGUCCAACAGGUAUUCACACGAAAUUAAUAAAUGGCACCUUACGGAUUGGAGUACUCCACUGUAUCACCUAUCUGGGAGAUUUUAAUUUUUUCCUUCUAUUAUUUCUCUUAAUCCCUGUGUACUCAUUGGACUUUGUAUAGUUCUCAGUUUUAUGAAGUGGUUCAGGCUGGCGUAAGCCGCCAUAGUCCCAGUAAAAAAAGGCUACAAGCUUCGCUUCGGCCUUUCGGAACUGAAUAUUAUGUAGUUUUAUUGAGAUUAUUGAUAGUGCUUCUCUACUAUCAAAGAAGGUAAUAGUCUCUUAUGUGUUUCUUUUUGUCCAUUUGAAUGCACUCCAUUUUUUAGUGUAUUAAUUAACAUCAAACCUCCCAUUCUUUCUAGAGUGCUGAUGUAUUAUUAUUUUCAGCUUAACACAUUUAACUUCCUAUAGAUUUCAUGGUUUAUGCAGAUUAACCGAGCUAAGAACUUUUGUGAAGCUAAAGCUGGUGUUAAGAUGAACGCCGCUAUGUAUAUAUUUGAAACAGUUAGAUACAUGCUUGACAGACUAUAUAGGGGUGAUCAAAACCAUGCAAAGCAUUAUGGGACAAGUUUCUCUACCUUAAAUAAGUGUGCGUUCUCUCGUGUUUACUAUUCGUUUAAGGGUCAUCAACCCGUGUAUUUAUUUUCAUUGACCAAGUUUUAAAUUUUUCUUCAGUAGUGUUCAUUGUGCAGUUCUAGAUUGUUAAGAGAGUAGAGUUUAUUGAUUUAUUACAUGGAGAGACCAGAAGUGUCGUAGUGGUCUUGACAUAAUUGCUAACAUUUUCUACUAGACAAAGUUUAAUUGCACUAAAUACAAAUUAGAACAUGCAUAGACAUUUAUCUUCUUUCUACAGAAUGGUUAGUGUAAACGUACUUUGAGUUGUACAUGAUUCUGUAUCUGACCAUUUUAUCUCAUAUGUUGAUGUGGUUGCAGAUAUGAACUUCAAAUUAUCCUGCAAUGUAUUGACUGCUCAGAGCUAACUUGACUACGCCAGUUUUCUUUUAUGGCUCAAAGUAGUUAGUGUCCCCCCUUACUAUGAGAGAGGUACUACUUCAAACAUCUCUUCUUAAUGUUUUAUGUCAUGGCAUACAGUAUGAGGGAGUGUUAGUUGGCUUGACUUUCGUGGCACUCAUUUCGAGACUAGUCGUCCAAUAUAUCAAUCUUUAUGUCUCGACCAUUUCGAGACUCCUCGUCAUGUCCGUGAUCACAUCCGGGACUCCGAACAAACUUCGGUACAUCAAAACUUAUAAACUCAUAAUAAAACUGUCAUUGUAUCGUUAAGCGUGCGGACCCAACGGGUUCGAGAACUAUGUAGACAUGACCUAGAACUAUUCUCGGUCAAUAACCAAUAGCGGAACCUGGAUGCCCAUAUUGGUUCCUACAUAUUCUACGAAGAUCUUUAUCGGUCAAACCGCAUAACAACAUACGUUGUUCCCUUUGUCAUCGGUAUGUUACUUGCCCGAGAUUCGAUCGUCGGUAUCCAAUACCUAGUUCAAUCUCGUUACCGGCAAGUCUCUUUACUCGUUAUGUAAUGCAUCAUUCCGUAACUAACUCAUUAGCUAUAUUACUUGCAAGGCUUAUAGUGAUGUGCAUUACCGAGAGGGCCCAGAGAUACCUCUCCGACAAUCGGACUGACAAAACCUAAUCUCGAAAUACGCCAACCCAACAUCUACCUUUGGAGACACCUGUAGUACUCCUUUAUAAUCACCCAGUUACAUUGUGACGUUUGGUAGCACCCAAAGUGUUCCUCCGGUAAACGGGAGUUGCAUAAUCUCAUAGUUUCAGGAACAUGUAUAAGCCAUGAAGAAAGCAAUAGCAAUAUACUAAAUAAUCAAGUGCUAGGCUAACGGAAUGGGUCAUGUCAAUCACAUCAUUCUCGUAAUGAUGUGAUCCCAUUAAUCAAAUGACAACACAUGCCUAUGGUUAGGAAACAUAACCAUCUUUGAUUAAUGAGCUAGUCAAGUAGAGGCAUACUAGUGACGUUAUGUUUGUCUAUGUAUUCACACAUGUAUCAUGUUCCCGGUUAAUACAAUUCUAGCAUGAAUAAUAAACAUUUAUCAUGAUAUGAGGAAAUAAAUAAUAACUUUAUUAUUGCCUCUAGGGCAUAUUUCCUUCAUCUCCUCCCCUGCUCGGUCUACCCCACAUGCAUGGCGUAUAACAUCCUCUAGCCCCAACUGCCGCCAAACCUCUCUAGCCUUAUGGCAUCAAAAUAGUACAUGACACACAUCUUCUGCUCCUUGUUUACAUGCAGGACACGGCGGCCGGACUGGGAUGUGUCUAUUAGCAAGAACCAUUUUGCAUGGCAGUGUUCCGUGUAAGGUUCUCCAAAGAAAUUUUUUAACUUUCGCCAGACAAUUCAGUUUCCAAACCUUUUCCCAUGUUGGGUUAGCACUAGUGGCUCCCAAACCAUGUGUCCUCUUCAAUUUACGGCCAUGCUGAAAGUACCAUAGAGCAUGGUAGGCCGAUUUCACUGUAAAAAUUCCAUGUUUAUUCAAACUCCAUGCUACAAAGUUACUCAUAUCAUGUGUAGGUAGUGGUAAAGCAAGGACCCGUUCCACAUCAAUCGAGAUGGUUUGCUCCACAAGUGGCACAUCCCAGUGACCUGUAGCUGGAUCAAUUAAAUCUCUCACCUUUGAUAGUAACUGGUUACCUCUUGGGGUAAUAAUCAUUCUGGAUGGUGAGUUAGGAAUCCACGCAUCCCUCCAAAUAUUUAUUUUUUCACCAUCCCCUACUCUCCAAAUGUAUCCAUGUUUCAGGGUAUUCACCCCUUGCAUAAUGCUCUGCCAAGUGUAGGAGGAAUUAUUUUUCAGCUUAAUUAAUUUACCAGCACAAGAAGCGGCCGUGCUGGGAGUGAAAAACUUCCAUGACUUGAUGUCCACUUGCUGCUGGUACCUUUGGUGGGAGAGGAGAAAGCUUGUGCACAAUGAGCCGGUACAAGAUGCGAAGAGAGUUGCGCAAGCGGUAUGUGCUUUAGCUGCUAACUAUGCUAUUGCAUGUGACCCAAAGGCCUCGUUAAAGAGGGGAGGUUGGUGCAAACCCCCUAGUGGAUAUGUUAAUUUAAAUGUUGAUGCGGCCUUUGAUUGGGAUUUGCUUCAGGGGGCGAUGGGAGCAGUCAUCCGAGAUGAUAGAGGACAUAUGGUUGUAGCUAGAAACAAGCUCAUUGAUUCCUGUUAUGAUGUACUAACUGUUGAGGCAAUGGCUCUGAAGUUUGGGUUGAAUAUGGCGCUCACAGCUGGGUGCAAUAGACUGAUUGUCAACUCGGAUAAUCUGGAACUCAUGGAAAUAAUGAAUAAGGAUGGCCAAUAUGUUGGAGAUGCCGCGACCAUUGUCGAUGAUUUUUAUCAUCUGGCUUGCGAAUUUAGCUCUAUUGUCUUCGAAUUUUGCCCCAGAGAGUCGAAUGGGGUUGCACAUGAACUAGCUAGGAUUGCUAGAAGUUCGCUUUGUAAUGAGUGGUUAGAUAAUGCUCCUUCUGAGCUUCUUCCCCUACUACUUAAAGAUGUAAGUCUGAUCACGAAUGAAUAAAGAGGAAGUAAAGUUGUCAAAAAAAAGAGCAUGGCAAUUUUAUUUUUAAUGGCAUGUCAUUCUUACCUUUAUUUUUGAGAAAAGCAUGUCAUCUUUACUAUGUCCUUCUCGCCUGAUGUAUGAAGUAGGCGGACCCUAGAUGGGCUUUCCCAAUAUGGGUUCCUGGGACCGGGUUCCUGCAGAGUUUUUUUUUCUUUUCGUCUUGUGUGUUUCCUGGGCCAAUUUUCAUCUUUUUGUUUGGUUUUCUGUCUUAUGUGUUUCUUUAUGGAUUUUAUUCUUUCUCAAUACAUGUCCAUUUUUCUAAAUACACACUGUAAAAAUUUACACAUCUUGAACAUUUUUUAUUAAUUGGCAUAAACCUAUUUUUGGAGUGUGUGAGCAUAUUUUAAUUGUCAUGUACAUUUUUCUGAAAGGCAGUAUUUAUUUUGCUGAAUUACGUGAGCAUUCUUUACACAUCUUGAACAUUUGUCCAUAUUUUUUUGAAACACAUGAAAAUAUUUUUGAAUGCUAUAAACAUUUUUUAUAUCAUGCUGCAUUAGGUCUAUAUUAGUUUAAACUAAGUCAGUGACAAUUAAUAUGGAUCAUAGAGAGUACAAUUUUGUACAUGAUGUUUAUAAUUUUAUAUUUCACUUUCCACAUUUUUUAUUUAUUAAACUCUAUUGUGUUUUUGGAAUAAGUGUAUUUAGAAUAUUUUUUAAAAAUGUAAAUAAAAUGGAGCGAAUGAAGAAGCAGAGAAGAAAAACGAAGGCCGGCCAAAUGUAUGGCUUUCCCUGCCUCAUACCUGCAAAUCAAGCUAAGCAGCGGGUGAUAAUUUUUUACACAAUGUUUAUAGUUUUCUAUUUCAAUUUGAACAUUUCAAAAUUUUAAGGAAAUUAUUAUUUUUAAAUAAAUGUUUUUAGUUUUUUUUAAUAAAAAGGUGAAAAAAAAGGAAAUUGAGCGAAUGAAGAUUGAAGAAGCAGAGAAGAAAAAUGCCCUUUCUUUCAUUAACUGAACUGCGUGCGUGCAUGGAAGGGCUAUCAUCUUUACUUAAGAGGAGUGACUUACCUAUCAUUGUGGAGAUGAACUCUAUUCUUGUAGUCAAACUGAUCCAAUCGAGGGAUUUGGACAAAUCUAUUUAUGCUUGGAUAGUUAAGGUGAUCAAGUAUGUUUUGGGGAUUCGUGGUUCUUGUAUUACUCAUGUAAAUCGCUCUCAAAAUAAAGUUAGCGACUGCUUAGCUAGAUUUGCUAAAUUAGAAGGACAAACCAUGACUUGGGUUGGUUCUGGUCCAGAUGUUGUUGUUGAGCUAGCUGUUGCUCAAUGUAUGGACACCAUGAGUUGAGUAAUGCAAAAAAAAAAGUUUGCGCAAAAUUAUUUUCAAUUUUUUUUUGAAAAUUUUAAAUAUGGUUUUUGUUUUUUUUCUUUUCAAAAAAAAUACCACACAAAUUUGGCAUUCGUUCCAUGGCUCAUAUCUCUACUCCUAAUGGACGACUUGGUGAAUAGUCUUCAUGGUUUAUUUUCGCUGGGUUUUUUCAUCAUCCUCCCACCUCACGGUUUCAAAAAAACCAACCAAAACUAGAGGCCCGUCCCACGAAACGAAACCCAAUUUGCCCUCGUACCACCACUCCUCCCUCUCCCUUGACCUCCCUUGUCUAGGGUUCCCCGGCACCACUGCGGCAGCCGCCGCCGAAUCCUAGGUCGCCGCACAUCGUCGCCGCCGCCGCGAAUCCCCAGGGACGCCGCACGCCACCGCCGUUGCGAAUCACCAGAGACGCCGCACGCCGCCGCCGCACGCCGCCGCCGCGGAUCCCUAGGGAUGCCGCCGCCACCGCCGCGGAUCUCCAAGGGCGUGGUCACGUUGUACUAGACAAAGUGUGUUCGUCGCCGGCCUCUCCUCGUCCGACCUUGACUUCACCCCUUCGACUCCGGUGACUCCUCUGUGGCCCGGUGGGCGCCAACUGUCGUGGAAUUUUCAUGGCAGAUGUCCUAGUGUGAGGACUUAGUCGUGAGGCCAACGCAUCUACGCGGUAGCUUGAAGGGAUUGGUCGGAAUCGAGAGAUGCGAGGCGGAUCAACACACAAGACAAGGAUUUAGACAGCUUCGGGCCCCAGGAAACAUCAUCCGGUAAUAGCCCUACAUGAUGUUUGUGGCUAGCUCUCAUUAUGCUCACGAGGGAGUCGCCGUAAACCGGCUCUCCUAGUUAUGUCUAGCCCUAGAGAUUGUUUCUUCUUGCUUGUCCCUCUUUGGGGAGCCUUGUCCCUCCUUAUAUAAGUUAGAGGGGCGGGUUACAUGUGGAGUCCUAUUAGGAUUAGGACUAGUCUACCUUCUAAUACAAACCGGAUACAAGUCCAGGUCUUAACUCCUUGUAAGACAAAUAUUUCUCACGCCUUUCCUCUUAAACCGGCCCACCAUAACAUGAGCCGGCCUUCUGGGCCUUGGGACUUGUCAUCCGUCUGUCCCGCCCGCCGGGUUACCAGUGAAUCAUAAUGUUCAGUCAGGUUGCUUGUAAACUGUCUGGUCAGUGCGGGUCGCCGGUGAAUCGCCAAGUCCGGCUGGGCUAUACUUCCGGCCGGGUUACGCCGCGGGGUAUAUCCCCGACAUCUCCCGUGAUAUCUGACGAUAUAUUUAUAAGUAAUGCGCAUGGAUGGUCCGUCCUUGAUUUUAGGGUGGCUUAGUCGGUUGGAAGAUUUGUUAGUUAGCCUAUUUAAAGGUAGCACGAUGCUCUGGUGCUAUUGUCAGGGCUUGCUAGCCCAGCGGAGGAGUCCCUAGUUCUUCUCUUACCCAAAGUAUUACGACCACCGUCUGUCAUUGCCGCAGUCGCCUGACACCAAAUCAACCAUGUCAUCGUCGAGCUCCAUUAGGUACGCGCUGAGGGGCCGAUCAGUUGAUGUGCCCCUGAUCCCUUGCCCUGACUGUGGCGAAACGGUUAGAUUCUAUCUCUCUAGUACCGAAGAGCAUGAUGGUUGGGUGUUCUACAAGUGCAAACACCACGAUGUACAAUCCCUUUACACUUUGGGUUGACAUUUACUGCAUGAGUAAUUUUUUCUACUGUUUCGUUAGUGCUGGUUUGAUUUGUGUUCACUUGAUUCAUAGGAUCCAUGUGAUUUCUGGCGCUGGGAACUAGAGUACGUGGAUCAUCUUGUUGGUACAAGUGUCCUUGUUGGUGCUUAUGCCCUUGACGCAAUGGCUGCGGCACAGGAUAGAAGGGAACAGCUACAGCGCGCAAAAAACAGUGGGAAAAGAAUGCAUGUACCAAGAGUGGCAACAUUGGAGGCAGGACAAAUUACAUUCAGAGCAAUGUGGCAACCAUUACGAAGCACCAAGCUUAUAUGAUGUUAGGACUAGGGAGACAAAUUGUUUUCAUGCUGAAGCUGUUGACGGCUAGUGUAAUGGUGUUGUGUGUGUUGUGUGUGAUGUUGAUUGUGAAGAAAUAAUAUAUUUGUGAUCGUAUCAAGGCGAUUAUCAUGGUUACAUGUAAUAACAACUUAAUAAGAAGGUGUGUUCUAACAUGAUAACUCUUAUACGCCCCCAACCCUAUUUUAACAUGACAUGUAAGAGUAAGAAAUAAAUCUUAUACGAUGAUUCCACGAAAUAGUUGUUUUGGUUAUUUCUUACGUUCUUGACUAUUAUGAGAAAAUAAGAGGUAAGACGGAGCAUGUUAAAAUUGUUAAAAAAUAAUGAAUAAACCGAGUUGCAAUGAAGGCAAUCGAAUGGAAAAACAUAAAUGACCAUUUAAAUUCUUGCCCACUAUGUUGUGCACAAACACAAGAGUACCAUGUUAACACCACAUACAAAUGAUUCCAACUUUUUUUCAUGCCCUCCCAUGAGCAAAUCAAGCAAACAUGCAAAUAUGGUUCUCAGUUUCGACAACUUCUCCACGUAUUGGGAUUUUUUUAUCAAAAAUGCCUGAAAACUGGCCCCACGUGACAUUAGUUGCAAACUUUACUAAGAAUACAUCAAACUUGGCAUGGAGGACUAACAUGACCAUGAGUUGUUACCCCAAAAUUUUUGUGUUGAUUUAAGAAAUGUCAACAAACCAGCAUGUGUCUUCUCAGAGGAUGCCAUGUUAGCCCAAAGGAAGGGCGCGUAUUGGAGCACCUCCGUCUUUACAAUAUCCACAAAUGAUGCCAACUUUAUUUCAUGAUCUCCCAUGAAAAAAUCAAUAAUGCAUUCACAAAGAUUUUUAAUUUGGCCAACAUUUAUAAUCCUUCUGCAAUUUCGAAACGAAAAAGAAACAUCGUCUGCAUGGUCUACCCCCCUAGCCACACAUCGAAAGCAUGGGGCACAUGAUGCAUUACACUUUGUUUGUCUUAUGGUGGACCUAGUUGACACACCAGGCCUAGUUGGAUCAUUGGCCUACACCGGAUUCCAUGUCAUGUGAAACCUCGGCCACAUCAACUGCUCCCGUCUAGAACCUUCGAACUGCACUUUCCACUUUGUGAAGCAAGUACAACAUGAAAUUUGUGAAAUUUCCCCAAGCUUUUAAAGUGCAUCUCAUGACAAAAUCAAGUAAGCAUGCAAAAAUGCUAUUCAGUUUACACAGAAUUUUGCAUGUACAGUAAUUUUUUCGGCCGAAAAUACUAGAAAACUGGCCACAUGUGAAUCAUAUUGCAAACUUUACAAAAAAAUGGUUCAAACAUGGCAUGGAGGCCUAACAUGGCCUUCAAUACUCACCCCAAAAAGUUGGGUCAAUUUCAUACAGGCCAGGAUAGUACUAUAGCAUCUGCUCUCAAAGCGCGCCAGGCUCGGCCGGAAGGGCUUGUGUUGGGGAACCUCCAUGAUCACACCAGCUUCAUAUUUGGUAAAAUAUAUUUCAUGGCCUCCCAUGACCAAAUGAAGCAUGAACACAAUAAUUGUAAGCUUCUACUAGAUUUUCCAUUUUCUUCCAUUUUUCGGUCAAAAAUGCCCGAAAAGUGGCCGCAAUUGCCAAAACUUGGAAAUUUUGCUGAAACUCGUUUUAAUGUUGUCCUAGAAGCCUGUAAUGUAACAUUUUCCUUUGCAUGUCAUAAGUUGGGUUCAAUCCACAUGAAACAUGAUCUACUUGGUUUGUACAUUCGACAGUGUAGUCGCGCUUCUGACCGGGAGCUUUACAAAGGUUCUCGACGGAGGCAGCGCGUGUACCGCAUCGACUCCAUGGAUGGAAUCCAAUUUGAACCAAUGUUCGCACUUGGUAUGGUAUCAAUUAGGUCCACCCUUAGGCAAAGAAGCUUGAAGGCAUCAUGUGCUACCACUUUCGAUGGUUGUCUAGGGGGGUAGACCGUCUGGGAGGAAAUGAAAAAAUCAUGAAAAUCAUGUGUAACCUUGAACGCACUGUGCAUGCAUGCUUGAUUUGGUUCAUGGGAUGGCAUCAAAAUAACUUGGAAUCCUAUGUACAUGGUAUAUUGAAGGAGAUGGCCCGAGACGGGCCCUUCCGGGCUAUCCUUGUACCCUCCGAAAGCACGUGUUGGUUUAUUGACCUAUAUUAAAUGAUCGUCAAGUUUGUAGGGUUACAAUCCAUGGCCAUGUUAGGGAUACAUAUGCCAAGUUUGAACCAUUUUCAUCUAAGUUUGCAAGUUUUUUCAUGUGUAAAUCUUAGUCUAAACUGAGAAGCAUUUCGCAUGGUAGCUUGUUUUGGUCAUGGGAUUCCAUGGGAAAUAGUAGACAUCAUUUUGUAUUGUAGAUGAUCUACUAUAAACAUGGGGGUGCCCCCAAACACGUCCUUGCGGCCUUGACAUGCACCCUCCAAAAUCACAUGUUGGUUUGUUGACCUACCUGAAAUCAACCCAACUUUGCAGGGUUGCAAGCCAUGGUAAUUAUUGGGGUAAGUACAAAUUUCAACCAUUUUUAGCAAAGUUGCAAGUUUUGUCACGUACGGACAAUUAUCGGGCAUUUUCAGAACAAACAACAUAUUUUAUACCACUUAAAAAAUGCAUUCCUUUCUCGAUGACACAUUUGUUUUUUCUUCAGAACAUUACAUUUGUUUUGGCCAAUUACAUGCUAAUGUUUCAACCUCCCAUAACUCACGCCACCCAGAUCUCCCGAAAUCCCAUGAUUACAGCUCCUCCCUCGUAACCACCCGCGGCAUCCAGGUCCCGUACCACCUCCCACGACUGCUGCAAGAUCAGAUUGUAGCCGCCGCCCACCAGGAACAUCGCCUGAGGGGUCGGACCACAGUGGUGUUGUCGCCGUCUCCUACGCGCGUUAACGCGCGCUGCUCCUGUUGCUGCCGUCGAGCGCCACACAUCCACAUCUAGUGUGGGACGCACUAUCCGCGUGGAGCAUUGGGCCGCCACCAUCGACGACAGAAUGUUACGUGAUCAUAGCUCUUUUGUAACCUUUCUUGGACACGCAUGUCUACUAGUAAAGCCCUAAUAGGUUUCCCACAAGUUAUUCCAGUCGUUAAGAUUACCUGAUCAUAUCUCUCAUUAAUAACUAUCAACAUGAUCAAUCUUGGCACACUACACGAACGUCCGAAGAGGUAAUACUACAACAAGGGUAUCUCUUUCAUGAAAUAACAUGUCGUAUGUUUAUGCAAUCCCAAAACCCUAGUUGAACUGUCCCAAUGUUAUGCAUGACCAAAAUCUGUGGUGUGCUUAAAGUUACAUGUAGUUCAUAUUAUUUAAUAAACUCAUCCAUGCUUGCGUAUAAGAAUCUAUUUUUGUUACACAUUUCUCAAUGUGAAGGUCAAAUAAAUUGAACUGGUUUUGCUUCUGUUCCAUAGGUGCAGUAAAAUGGAAACUACUGUUAAAAGUGCUAUUAAUGGAGAAAAAUACGUCUCCGAAAUGACCGAUGAGGUACAUAGUUGACAUUUCGUUUGAAAACUGUACUUGCAGACACUUCUUUCAUACUCGAUAAAAUUUAUUGCUACUUUUAAAGGAAAUCUUGAGGAAGCACGGCCAAACAAAGUUAGUGUGCUCAUCGUCAAGGCUCGCCAAAGUCAUGAAAUUGUUGUCACCAGAACACAUAGAGAAAAUCAUAAGCGAUACCGGUCUUGGGUGUCUAAACAUGAUUCGUGAAUUUAAACUCCGGCGCAUUAUGUGGUAAGACUAACAUAGAGCUUCAAUAGUGAGACAUCGUCCAUUACCAUAGGUAAAACACCCAUUCCUAUCACCACAAAAGACGUGCACCAUAUAUUUGGCCUUGCGAUAGAAGGGGAGGAUAUUGAUGAAAAGCUGCAAAGCACGCCGGAUCCAAAUUUGUUUAACACAUUUCAAAACAAUGGGAGCAUUGAUCUGGCUGACCUUGAGACAGCGGUCUUAAGUUCCAAACCUUCGGACAAUGAUUUCCUGGCGCGGUUCGUUCAAUUCGCUAUUGGCACAGUUUUAGCACCAACAGCACAAUGUUAUGUCGACGCGAAAUACCUUCAACUUGCUGCGGAUAUUAAAAGCCUUCGAAAAUUGAACUGGGGAUGUUUCACAAUGAAACACUUGUUGAGGUACAUACACAAAUUUAGCUCUCUUGAUCAAGUAUCUCUACAGGGAAAUCUACCUCUGCUUCAGGUUAGUGCAACAUCACUAGUUAACAUUGUAUAAUUGUUUUUCUUUUCUAUAUCUCUCUAUAUUGACGAAGUAAUUUAUUGUGAAGAUUUGGUACUGGGAGCACCCGCGUUCCGGCAAAUUGAUGUAUACUCCUAUACCCCCACCAUUGGUCACACGAUGGGACGAAUGCACGUGUGUAAUAAGAGCAGAAGCUUACACCUCAGGAGGUCUUCAUAAAGGACUGGUGUGUUUCUAGAUUUGACCCAUGUAUGUAUCCGGUUAUUUAUUUGCUACUACUGAUUCAUUGUACCUGAUUCAAAGGUUGUGAUGGAAAUUUGUGCUCGACAACCAGAGGCUAACAUUAGAAAGGAUCCAGGAAGCAAAAAAAUUGUACGUGAGGAUGAAGGUGAUUCAUCUCGAGCACAAUCACAAGGUCAAAAUAUGAGUAGCCACCAAGUAAGCCCAACAAAGACAAUUUUCAUUUUCCAAGAUCAGUAAAAGGUUGCAUCGAAACUCAUUCAUUUUGCUUUGUUCUGAACGGGGUGUUAUUUCGUUUGCACAGGUGCAAAUGAUAGUUGCAGCCCUGAAUGCACAUUGUGCUGAGCAAGAAAAGAAGAUAGACAGACAGUUAAUGGAAUUUCAGCAUAGAUUUGAUGCGAAAUUCCUCACCCUGAGCGAAGAGUUAAUCGACAUUAAGAGUAAAUCUGGCAUUAAUCCUAGGCUCUCGCUGCUCGAGGACGAAAUUAAGAACUUAAGGAGGGAACUGAAGGUAUGUCAUGUUGUGCAUUUUUUAUUGUUAUGAAUAUGUUCCUCCAUAUUCAUUAUUGUUAUAAUUGUUAUAGGAAUUAAAAAACCAAACUAAAGUCAGCCGACAAUCCGAGUCACAGAAAGCAGGCGUCGAGGUAAUAAUUAUGGCCCACGACAUAAGUAGUAUUACCAAACUAAUUAUAAUUAACCAUUUUUGUUGCUGUAGGAACAAGUCAAUGUGUGCAGUGAUCCCUUCAUGGCGACUCCUAAGUUCGACGCAUCCACGCCACGUACUUCGACUCCAACACCAAGUGCCAGACACGUCCUGCCAAACAAGGACGAUCCUCGAAUCACACCGUUGAAGCCUCUAUUUGAUAAUGAUUACGUGCUCACCGCUGAGGACAAAGAGGCAGCCAUUUUCAUCUGGGGAACACACGGCCCUGUUGAAGUCGUUCAAAUCGGAGACAUUCCCCUAAGAGCGGAACAACUGAAGCCAAUUUAUGAUAAAAAAUACAUCUGUGGUGAUGUAAGCCCCUUGUACUCCAUUGUACAUCAACUAUUUGAACUGUUGGCACAUCAUUAUAUGAUUACAAAUUUGGCAGGUUAUUAUGGUGUAUGCUCACAUCAGCGGAGUUGAGACUGAUACUACCUCAGUCAUAUCCCCCAAUGAAACCAGAAAGCUUUUACAAACAAAAGGGGUUAUUCCAAAGGGCCGUGGAAGCUCGUUGCUUCAACUUAUUGCAAAUAAAUUUGUAGGACGCCGGAAGGUACCUAUUUUCCUCACUUCCAUAUAUCGUAAUAGAUAGUGUAGAUGAAAUAUUUCAGGGGUCCCCCGAACCAUAAUUGUUACCUUAUAUACAUUAUUCCGUGGAAUGAGUCCUCUUUGACUUCAUGGCAGGUCCACACCCCGUUUAAUGUGAAUGAUAAUCAUUGGAUGGGAAUGGUGUUCAAUUUCGACAAAGAAGAGAUUCAAAUCCUAAACUCCUUGAAAAAUCAAUUUGGCGAGUCGAAGGAAACUGCUCUUGUAAGCUUUAUCUUGCUGCCUCUUUACUGUCGCAUGGCACAUUAACUCCAAAUCAUCGUAACCCUUCGUAAUACUCGUAUUAUGCUAGGUGGAGGCAAUUCAGGCCUGCAUGGACGGAGCGGUGAAGGAUGUCUUGGUAACACCAGAUAAUCCCAUCAAAUUUACCGACUUGGAAGUAGUACACUAUGACGACAUACCGCAACAGAAUGACGGGUACGUACGACCUCCUAAAUUAUUCCUUGCCGACACGUCCAAGUUUACUAAAACCUAAACUAAACACUGCAUGCAUUCAUGUGCGUUUUUUACACUGAAGUACAUGUUGACAUGGAACAGUGAAGUAUUUACCGACAAAGUGGAGUAGGUGAGCCAAACACUAUAUUUUCUUGUAGAAUAUCUUAUGACUGAACGAUGUGCUGACAUAUGUGUCGCUUAUCAAAUGUAGUCACAAAUAGAUAUAUUUAGCUGGAAAAUAGUUUCAAGCUUGCUGCGUCCAGAUUGCAAUAGUCUUCGCAUGGAAACAUACAAGUACCCCAUAACGGUUAGCGAAAAAGCACUGAUAUUUUAUUGUAUUCACAUGUGUCAUGACGCUACCGAAUGCACUGAUGUCUGCUGUACAGGCAGAGACGUAUGAAGCCCACGUUGCAUCGGAACCUAUCAAUUCACAAGACGAUGUCCAAGAAAUUAUCGGUACUGUUGAGUGCAAGAUAUCAGACACGUCGAGCUCCCCAAAGGAUCCCGACACCCCGAGCUCCCCAAAAAAGCGAAGAGCACGUGGACGCCCGAGGAAGCUUGUUGAUUAAGUGCAAGCUAAAAAAACAAAAACUAUGGAAGAGCUCAGAGUGAAAUUUGAUAGCAAGACCAUUUCUAAACAAGUGUCUUCUUCGAUAUCAAGACGAUCACGCAAGCCAUCACAUGCUAUAUCGAGCCCAUUCAAGUUAACCAAAUGGUAGUUUAGGUACGUACUGGGUAGCACUAUAGUUAGCACUACUUAUGAUACAUUUGUCAUUUACGAUUUGGUGAUUGAACUUUAUCAAACGUGCAUCGACGAGCGGUGAAAGAUGGCUUGCUAACAAGAGCUAAGACCGUAAAAAGUAGUGUAUGAUAACAUACCUCAAUAUAGCAAUCUAUGUUGUCGCAGUACAUACUUUUGGCAAUCACGAACAUUAUAUAAUUUCGGCAAUUAGGAUCAUGUGCAUGCUACAUUUCUGGCAAUUACUAAUGCAUGCUCAUUUGUUUUGCUUCAAAUGGCAGUAUGUACUCCUGGCGAACAUUUGUGUGCUCUACUUUUGGCAGCUAUUAAUACAGGAUCAUUUAGAAUGGUUUAACUGUCCAUAGAAAUAACUAGAAUGUCAUUAUUUCUAAACAUACCAAAUUCAGUGCAAGAUAUAGCAUUAGCAUCUUCAGUUAGAGUCAUAACAUAUAUGUACCAUAUAUCACCAUAGUGGAGGUAUUAGGCAAGGUUGACCGCAAUGCACUUAUUAGUACAGGGUAGGUGCUUACAAGAUAAACAAUAGUUUAAUGAAACAACAACGCAUAUUAGUACAUGGUAGACGCUUAAUUAGGCGCCUAUCAUGUACAAAUUGGCACUGCUGCUUCCAAAAACCAUGUUUAAUAUAGUUAGCAUGUACCUAAGCACAUAGCAUUGGUAGUUGGCCAUUACUAUAAAUGAUCAAUGUACUACCAAACACUUAAACAUAGCAUGUUAAACACUCGCAACCCAAAAGAUAAACCGGCACAUAAGUUCAAGCAGUACGGUGGGGCAGAAGUAUCACACGACAACCAUAACAUAAAAAAAGUCUUAACUAGGGUGGGCCUGUAGUAACAACCAAGUAGCGCAUUAGAUCCUCGGCAUCUUGGCCGGACGAGGAGGCCUCGGGAGGUAGAAUGGAAGAUGCCCCUUCGCGUACUUCCCGAGGAAGGCACCAAAAGCGGAAUGUUCAGCCCGGUCCUGGGGCUUGCGGUUCCUCCCAUUACCACGGCUGAUAUCGGUGCCAUGCAUGAUUAGGUUGUCGUAGUUGCUCUUGAUUCUCGCGCAGCAGAAGGGGCAGGCUAUGUUGCCGUAGAGCCUGUUGGAGCCGCUGAGGUAUGGGAUUUCCCCAUUCCGCAGCCUCCUGAGGACGUAGCGGCUCUUGCUUUCCCUCCUCUCCUUACUAUCAUCCACGUCUUCGUCAUCUUCCUGUGUGUUAGUUGAUCGACAGCUAUGUCAGAUUAGGAAUACAGAAAUGUAGCAUUUCAUAAGAGUAUCAAGUACAUUCCGAAAGUAGGAACACAAAAAUAUGAUCAAUCAGAUGAUUCACACAACAUGUACCUCAUGUAUUGCUAUAUAUGUUUAUGUAUUAUUUGUUAUCUUUCUUGUUCUUUUUUCUUUGCUUUGCAUGCGUACCUGUUCUCCCCUGUAAAGAUGUACUCCUAUUUGUACAAUCUAAGUUGACAAUUAACUAAAGGGUUCGGGUUUUAGGGUAUGAACAAAUCAUUUUACUGCAUUCAAGCACAUAUUUUAUUUCAUAUUGAAAAUAGAUAAUUCCAAAAAUAGGAUCAUUUCCUGCCAUUUCUUACAACAAUAUUUUGUAUGAUCUGGUUUUAUCAUAAAGAGAUACCAGACAAUAUCUAAUUUAAUUAUAUUCAAACUAGAUGAGUACAUACUACAAAGUAAAACUACUGCAUCAACAAAGAAAAGAUUGCCCUCACUUGAUAUUGUGAAGACAACAAAUUAUAUGAAUCAUGUCAUGAAUUAUGUAUAAAAAGAGAAAUUUUUGACUGAGGUACAUCGGUUGCGAACAUAAGAAAUUAUGGCUUUAAUUACUCCUUGUUGCUAAUAAUUACAUAGGGUUCGUACAUAAGAAACUCUACAAUGAAUUACUUACUGCAAUCAGAAAAUGUCUUCACAAUAUAGCUGUAAGGCUUCAUGAUUUUCAUCAAAUAAACUAGUUUUUCUGACAACUAAAUAAAUGUACUGUUUACUAGGUCUCAACAGAUUUGGCAAUCAGAUUGAAAAUAAGAUGCAUAGUCCACUUCAUUAUAUGGAAAUCAUGAAGCAGAUAGAAAAGGUUUGCACUGUUAAGGUAUGGAAGAUUCUAUAAGAAAGGAGAAAAUGUGGUAUCAGCUUUGUGCAUAUGGAGCAUUAUGAUUACGCUUAGUAAUGAAAAUUUUCUAUAUAGUAAGAAUGCAAAAGAAAAUCUUGUUGCUAGAAAUGUACUGUUGCAUGGACUUGACAUGCAUGAUUACUGAUGUGGCAUAGUUUCAUGGAUUGAUUUGUCCAAGAGAAGAACUAAUCCAUGUUUGUUGUUAAUGGCAGGCAGUGGCCGUAAAUUGUUACUACAUGCAUCAGUACUGACCAUAUGCAUAACUCGAUGAUGUGGCCCAGUUUCAUGCAUACCAAAACCAGAUAAUGGGUUGCCACUAUUGAAGAACGGAGCAUAGUUUCAUGAAUAGCAAAACCAGAUAAUGGGUUGCACAAUUGAGGAACAGAGCAUAGUUGUAACAGGGGUUCUCUGAUUUAAACUCUCAUCAUUGAUAGUAUUGUUGGUCACUAGCGAGGCACACGUGCAUUGGGCGUGAAAGCAAGAGUUAAUGUCAAUUAUUUUAGAUGCACUUUACAUUGCUAUGUUACUGUAGCAAUGGAUUUUUGUGUGUGUUUUCUUUAAUAAAGAGAUAAUGUUUGUGCAUAAUAUGCAUUCAGAUUCACAAAGUUCAAAGCAUUAGCAAUUCAUUUAGAAGGAAAGACUUUGCGCUGUUAAAGUAUCCAAGAUUCUAUAACAAUGGAGAAACAUAGUGCUAUGAGGUUGUUUGUGCAUAGGUAAAAUUGUGCUUAAGCUUACAAAUGGAAUAUUCUAGAUAGUACGCAUGCUUGGAAUUUUUCUUUUGUAGUAAAUAAGAUAUCGAAUGGCCAACAAUGCUGGGAUUUACCAUCUGUCCACCGUUGGAUUGGCUUCAUCCAACAGCAAAUAUUCAAAGUUGUUUCCAAAGUACAUGUUUUAAAAGUUACCAUUUAUAGAAGCUCAAGCACCGUUGAUAAAUAUUUACUGUUGCAUGUCAACUUUUCAAGUUCUAGAUAUUAAUCAUUGAUCCUCUUGUUGAUUGUCAUGAAAUAAACAAAUUUGUAGGAAAUUUUCCAUCCACUCAAACCUGUCUAAAAGAAUCCUACGUUUUUAGUAUGCACAAUCAAACACUCAUACAAUCCUGUAGGAUUCAAGAUGACAUGCCAUUCUAAUCCCACGUUUUCCCUAUUCCUGCAUUUUGGAAAUCGUACGAAUCAAAGAGGUGAUACCUAACAAAUACACCAUUUUCUACAGCAGAACUGGUUCAUAAUCAGUUUCUAAAUCAUAUUCUUACUCAUCUUCACAAAAUAAUUGCACGCACAGGGGGAUGUUAGGCCUACAUUACUACUGUUCCAUGCCAGGUUUCAGAUUGAAGGGGUUUCCUUCCAAAUGUAUGAAACAACUAGUACUAAUCCUAACCCUAAGGGAGAGAUCAAGAAACAUAACCUAUCUGGACGAAAUCUAAUCCGUGCUGCAUGCAAUUUAGGAGAAAACCCCAUGGGAGAAAACCCCCAAAACAGAGUAGGAGAAUAGAGCAGAACAGAGUAGUACCUCCGAGAGCUCGUCGUCGACCUCCUCGUCGAACUCGACUGCCUUGUCCUGCACUUCCUUAGUGUCGAGCUCGGCCUCCUCGUAGUACUUGUCGAUGAGCUCGUACUGCUCGCGCUUCUGCUUGGCCCUCUGCUCCUCCAGAUCCACCUCCACCUCCUCCUCCACCUGCUCCCCGACCGCAGGCUCGGACGUUGUGAUGGCGGCCAGAGCAGUCACAACAGAUGGUGCACCGCCUCUCGUCGCCGCGAUGGCGCCAUCGGCCACGCCAACCGCGGCGGCAAUGACCACAGCAGGCUUCUCCACUGCUUCUACCGUUGCAUCCUUCUCCACCGCCGUGUCUUCACGGCCGGCCUUCAUCUUCCGACGAUGAAGGGCAAGGGAGAUGAUUGCUGGCUCGUAGGAGGUAGGGUUCGAGGUGAGAGGAGAGGGUUUUUGCUGAUUUGGGGAAGAAAAGUAGCAGGGGUGGGGGAGUGGGAGAGACGGGGUGGGGGAGGCGGCUUUUAUUUAGCUUGUGGGUGGACGUUUGGAGUUACCGAGGCUAGACGCGUGGAGUCGUGCGCUCGUGCACGCCCCAACCACUUUAAUUUUUUUGUCAUGAAUUUGUAUUUUUUUGACCUGUGGUUUAGCGAGGAAAUUAUACAAACCACCUACUUUUGGUGUUACUCUUGCAUAGAACACCUACUUUACAGGUUUGUUCCAAAAAAACACAUAUUGGGGUAAUUUGUUGCAGCAAGGUCUAAUCCGCCAUUUUGGGUGGGUUGACAUGAUUUCUAACAAGUGAGUCCAUUUAGUAAGUGCACCGCAGGAAAAAAACAUUCCACAUCAGCACCCAACUAGAGUUGUGCAAAAUUUACAAAUAGGUACUCCAGAAAUAAUUCUCAUUGUUUCUGGGCCCACAUAAAUGAACUAUUGAUAGUUUUUUUUGUUCCCACAUAACAUGUUGGCACACAAGAGCAUGCACCAAACUUGUUCUCCUUCGACACACAGACGCUAUAACGACGGACAUGUACCAGUAAUAUUCACAUUGCACGUGUCGAUACCAUCUUGACCAACACGCAACAACAUUGGUCUCAUUGGACUCACACAAGCCAAAAGGGGUCCAAAUCAUUCACCAAUUCUUCUAGUCACAUUCCACUCCAAGAUGCGACAAUGGACCGACAUGUAUCAAUCUUGAUCUAUUUGCACAAAUAAUUGGUAUAAGGGCCAGAUGCACCAAUAGAGGUCACAAUGCACUGACACGUGUCACUUGGGCCAACACACACCAUGCCCACAUACAAGGAACAAAUAAGCCUAUAGGAUCCACAUGCACCGAUAAACUACGUCUCGACAUGCAACAACUUUUUGUAGUCACAUUGCACGCAAAGUGCAUACCAAGACACGCCAAUGGCCCGUCAUGUAGCAAUCUUCAUGUGUUUUCACUAAUCAUGGUUUCUUUGGCCUCACGGAUGCCAUAAGGGCCAAAUGCACCAAUAUUGACACGUUGCACUCAAAUGUGCCACUUGGGCCAACAUGGAUCAUGGUUUCUUUACUAGCAAGGAUCACAUAAGCCAUUAUAUAGUGUUGGUACUCUAGCAAAUAACAACAUAUAUCAACAUUGGUCCUAGUUGCAGCUACAUAGGACCACUUAUGCCACACAUGGAGCGCAGCCUCGGUGCAUGGUUUUCUUUCCGUGCGUCUAUGUCUGGAUAAAUGUCUUAAGGAGAGGCAAAUUGGUUCUGCCGAACACACUGCAUCAACCGAACUGGCUAGACCCUUUACCUCACACCCGCAUGGCCCUGGUUCAAAUCCCCGUGAGGCAGUUGGAAAUGCCAAAAAAAUUUCUGUGGGUACUAACACGUGGGGUUCCCUUGUCAUCCACACAAACGCGCCACCACAUGUACCACAUUUGGCUAAGUGCACCUACUAAUCCACAUCAUUUUCAACUUUCUUCUUCCCCUUCUCGACAAGCGCCGCCGCCGCCAUCUCCAGACGACGCCUCUCUUCGCCGCCGGAUCUGCGUGGCCGCUGCCAACUCCAGCAAGUAGGUGAGAUCUCUCCUCAUCCCCCUCGUGAAUCUUCUUCCCUUCCCCAACCGCGUGCGUCCCCCUCUGGACGCGGAUCCGAUCUAGAAAUUUUAAUUGGUACAUGCGGUAGAUGAUUUGUUGAUGGAUAUGAUGGUUCUUUCAUAGAUUGAUGGACGUCGUAGUGUAGGAUCUGAGUUGUACCAGGGAAAAGUGAGGCCCUAUGCAAAUCAAAAUGCGGCCCUAUGUGUGAAAAAAUAAAUCAAAAUAAUUCAUAUGUUCUUCACUAUAGUAUGUAGUACUGACAUUGGAUUGGAUUGGAUUGGGAUUUAUUAGGUAGAUGAUACUGGCAUUGCCAUUGUCAUUGGCAUUGCUUUUUUAGGUAGAUGAUAGUAAACAGAUUUAAUAGGUAUUGCAUUUUAUGUUAUCACUAUGAUUUAUUAUAUGUAUGAUCUUUGUAUUGUACUAUGGUAUCGUACAAUUCAACUUAGAGUUCAACAUGUUCUAUGUAGAAUGGAGGAAGCACCAUGUGGACGGUGCAAGUCACGGUGCCGGACCAGCCUUUGUACUGCCACGCUGUUCGGCAUCUACUUCCAGCCUACUUUUGUUUUGCAGCGGUAACAAUUUAUAUGAACCUUCUGACAGUUCAUUUUUUUCUAUUUCCACUAAUGCAUUGUGUUUGUUAUUUGUUUUUUCUUGCACAGAUUGUCCCAUGCAAUGUGAGAUUGACAUUCAAUGAGCUCAUCGGAGAUACCGUGAUCUUCGACGCUCUUGGGGGGCCGUACACUAUGCAGGUCGAUAAGGGGCGAACGAUAACCCAGAUUGGAGGAGAUGAAUGGGAUCGUUUCUAAAAGCACAAGUGCUCCCUAGGUGGUUUUGGUAAUUAAUGACAACAUAUCUCUUGUUGGACUAACACUCCUAUCUAGUAUAUUUCAGAUAAGUUCAACAAUGGAGUGGCAUGGACUAAAGGAUGUGGGAACUCCUUCAAGAUGCUAAGGACAAAGGAUUGGCUAAAGCUUCAAGCUCAAGACUCUUCAUUUUACAUUUUAGUGAUCCAAGAUCACAUUGAGUUUAUAGGAAAAGCCAAUACUAUCAAGGAGGGAUAAGGUGUUGCUUAAUGAGCCUCUUGCUUCAUGUGCUUAGUGAUAUGCUCCAAAACCCUCAGCUACUUUCUCACAUCCACAAAUGACCUAAACCCAAAGCCAAAAUCGGUCACACCGAUCCUUCCUAUCCGGCGCCACCGAUUCCAAAAGUCAUAGCCACUAUCACAAACCCUAAGCAAAUCGGUUCUACCAAUAGGGAUCUCGGUCUCACCGAGAUGGGAUUGUAAUCUCAAUGUGUAUAUCCAUUACCAAAAUCGGUCUCACCGAGUUUGUGCAAUCAGUACUACCGAGAUUACAAUGCAAAGUUUCUGGUUAGCCUAUUACCAAAAUCGGUCUCACCGAGUUUGGGUGAUCGGUCUCACCGAGUUUGCCUGACCAACUCUCUGGUUAGCUAAUUACCAAAAUCGGUCUCACCAGUUUGUGUAAUCGGCCUCACCGAGAUUAUGUUAUGCCCUAACCCUAACCAUAUCGGUCUCACCGAGAUGCAAGUCAGUCCCAUCGAAAACCCUAACGUUCACUAGGUUUACUAAAUCGGUCCGACCAGUUUAACAAUUCGGUCCCACCGAGUUUGGUAAAUUGUGUGUAACGGUUAGAUUUUGUGUGGAGGUUACAUAUACCCCUCCACCUCCUCUUCAUUCGUGGAGAGAGCCAUCAGACUGAACCUACACUUCCAGCAUCCUAUUUCUGAUAGAGAACUACCUACUCAUGUGUUGAGGCCAAGAUAUUCCAUUCCUACCAUAUGAAUCUUGAUCUCUAGCCUUCCCAAGUUGCUUUCCACUCAAAUCUUCUUUCCACCAGAUCCAAAACCUAUGACAGAGAGUUGAGUGUUGGGGAGACUAUCACUUGAAGCACAAGAGCAAGGAGUUCAUCAUCAACACACCGUUUGUUACUUCUUGGAGAGUGGUGUCUCCUAGAUUGGCUAGGUGUCACUUGGGAGCCUCCGACAAGAUUGUGGAGUUGAACCAAGGAGUUUGUAAGGGCAAGGAGAUCGCCUACUUCGUGAAGAUCUACCGCUAGUGAGGCAAGUCCUUCGUGGGCGACGGCCAUGGUGGGAUAGACAAGGUUGCUUCUUCGUGGACCCUUCGUGGGUGGAGCCCUCCGUGGACUCGCGCAACCGUUACCCUUCGUGGGUUGAAGUCUCCAUCAACGUGGAUGUAGGAUAGCACCACCUAUCCGAACCACGCCAAAAACAUCCGUGUCUCCAAUUGCGUUUGAAUCCUCCAAACCCUUCCCUUUACUUUCUUGCAAGUUGCAUGCUUUACUUUCCGCUGCUCAUAUACUCUUUGCAUACUUGCUUGAUAUGUAUCGUGAAUGUUGAAGUUGUGCCUAAACUCCACUUGAACUUCAAAAAGACUAAAAACUGCAACUUUGGUACUUAGUGUCUAAUCCCCCCCCCCCUCUAGACACCUCUUCUCAAGAUCAUACAGUUUCAUCGCCCGCUUGCGUCUUAGUGGGGGUGAACGGAUCCUCUUCUCCUUAAGAGGACAAAGGCCCAGGAUUUCUGUUAUCUAUCUGAAUUUGAUUGACGAUAGUGAGGAUGAGGUUCAUGAGGAGGACGAUGGUGAGGAUUCAGAUGAUGAUGAGAACCCACUUGAUGAAACCCUCUAUGUCCAAGGAGUGAGGCUGAGCGACAAGGAAACCAGCAACCUCUGGGACAUGUUUCCGCUACGUGAAGACUACGUCGGGAUGCCAUUCGUGACCCGCCUCACAAAGACGAAUGUUAAACAGCAUCUCAUGGUAUGUUACUUAGUGUGGUAAUUACAUGAUAUGCAUGCUUAAUUAGUGUAGUAUUUGAUAUGAUAUGCAUGUUGUAGUACUGUGAUGAUAUGCCUAGUGUAGAAUUCAUUUAGUGCAGAAUUUUAUGGUAUGCAUGUGUUGUAGUAAUGCGAUAUAUGCUUAUGUAGUGUAGUAAUAUGCGAUGAUAUGCUUAGUGUAUGUAGUAUAUAAUCUAAUGAUAUGCUUAAUUACUGUAGUAAUUUGAUGAUUAGCGUGUAUUGUAGUGAUGUGACGUGACAUAUGUGUCUUGAAGUGUAUGGUUUGUUGAUAAUUGCACGUGACAUGCUCAUAUAUCAUAUCAACUGUUUUCAGAAAUUACCUAAGAGGUUAUCUGAUAGCUGUGGCAUCGAGCCGGAUGAAGAAGGCAUGGCUGCUGGACUACGCCUUACCAGAACGGGCUCCAUCACCACCUGUGCAUAUGCAGUGGACACGCACGGUCGCACUAUCUUCAACCGGGAGGGGUGGAAGAAGUUCCUUCAUGGCAAGAAUCUUUCGGUAGGUCAGGGCAUCCUACUCACUAUUGCGAAUACCCGUCGCCGUGACUUGAGGAUGAUGAUCACCAUCAACCUCAUUUGGAACUGGCUGGGCCAUGUUUCGAUGUGAAAUGAACUUCGUAUGUUAGCUCUUGUUUCAGAGUACUUGUCGUGUAUUACUGUACCUAUAUAUAUAUAUUAUAUUAUAUAUAUAUAUAUAUAUAUAUAUAUAUAUAUAUAUAUAUACACAUAAACACUAUUCUGAUCACGGGAUCAGAAUAAUAUUCUGAUCACAACCUGAACUGCCUGAGUAACGCGCCUGAACUUCUCUCUGUACAAACCCGACCUUCGGGCUAUUUUCGCAACCGUGCCUUCUACCGCGAGUUUUUCUGGUUAGUCGUGUUCCAUGUGAUGUAAGUGUAAUCUUCAAACGAUUUUUAGCAACUAAAUACUCGUUUUAGAUAGCAAUCUCGCUCAUAGGCGGAUUUUGCACUCGGGUCGUGAAGAACUCGCGUUUUUUGCGAUUUUACGGCCUGAGUUGUUCGACCUGAACUUCCCCCUGUGCUAGGUUGAACUUCCCGCAACAUUGCCCAAAUAGGUCUUACUAUAUACCGUUGGAAAGCUAUGGACACGUGUAUCAUGACCCAAGUUAAAUUUUUCGCAAAAUGUAAGCGGUUUAAGAGCAGUUUUGAAAACCGUUUUUUCUUCACACAAAAAAUGUGAAUCGUAAUUUCGAUCGCAUUUCUAAACCGUUUAUCGGAAUGAGACAUAUAAUAUGGCGUUGAAAAGCUGCUGCAAAACCGCUCCUUCCACAUGUUUAAAGUUUUUUCUAAUUUCCUAUGGUUAAAGAGUAAUUUGAAAAAACGUAAAAUUUCGUAAACCGGACAGCUGAGUUCGUUUUUUCGAUGUAAUUUCUAAACGGCUAAUCCAAUGGAGGCAUAUGAUAUGGCGUCGGAAAGCUUAGAAAAAUGCUCUACUUUUUCAUCUUGACGGUUUUUUUCUAAUUUUGAAUGGUUUAAGAGUAAUUUAGAAAAUGAUCCAAGUCCUACCGAGUUCGUAUUUUCGAGCUAAUUUUUUAACCGUGCGUCCGAAUGCAGCAAAUGAUAUGGCGUUCGAAAGCUUGAACAAAUGCGAAACUUUUUGGUAUGUAUUGUUUCUCCCAAUUGUUUACGGUUUUAAGUCAGUUUCAAAAAUGGCGAAAAACGUAUUUUCGCCAUAAUUUCUACAAACUUUAUCGGAAUUGGGCAAAUAAUAUACCGUUGAAAAGCUACGGAAAAUGCGAAACUCUUUCGUGUUGAUGGUUUUCUCUGGUUCCUAGCGGUUUUUAUGUAAUUUCGAAAACGGCGAGAUCACUCGUUCUGCCUUUAUUUCAAAACAGAUUCUUCGAAAAUGCACCGCAUGAAGAACCUGAACUUCUCGGCGCGUGUACCUGAACUUCACUCUGUUUUUCACGUGAUUUUUUUGCUCAUAGCUCUCGAUCCACUGCUCGUACCUCUCCAUCCACUCACCGGAAUUGGGCAAGUGAUAUACCGAUGGAAAGCUGUUGUAAACACGCAACUUUCCCGUGUUGAUCAUUUUUUCAUACUCAUGACGAUUUUAAAAGUUUUUUAUCCGAAAUUCAUUUAGCGUAGUAGUUGAACUUCCUGCUAUUUUCACGUUGAACUUCUGUGACGUAUUUUUGUUUGUAAUUUUCUCAUCCACUCGUCGGUGACAAAUUAUAUUCCUUUUGUACAAACCGCUCUCAAAAUAAUUUUUCUAACUUUCUCCGACCGAGGACUUGAACUUAUGACAACAACAAAUUUGGACCUUACCUUUUUAUUCAUUUUUCUCAUAUUAAACACACACCAUGUAGUACAUGAACUUUUUCCAUUUUUAUAAUUUGAAUUUUUUAUUUUCUUUUUGAAAUCAAAUUGCUUCCAAAUAAUAACUGAACUUCUUUGUGGAUUGAGAUAAUUAUUUUAAAAAUCAAAAAUAUUUUUUUUGUGUUUUCGAACAUGGAAAUAUAAGGUGAACCUCUCUCGCAAGAAUUUUUGAACUUCCCCGGACAGAGCACGUGAACUUCUUGCAACAAACCUUUUAAGCUGUUAGUUUUCUAUUCUUUUCUGAAAUGCAUUCCGUGUAGUAGUUGAACUUCCCGCUGUUUUCACCUUGAGCUUCUGUCACGUAUUUUUGUUCAACUUCUCUCACAACAAUUUUUGAACUUUAUCGGGCCGAGCACUUGAACUUCUAGAAACAAAAUCAUUAGCCUUUGCUUUUUCAUUCUUUUUUUAUACAAAAUGCACACCGUGUAGUACGUGAACUUCUGGUAGUUAUCAAUCUGAACUUCUCUCGGUUACGUGAAAAUAUCUGAGUUUUUUAUGAAUAUUAAUCUGACUUUCUUAAUAUUUUUUUAUGAAUUCUGAAGCGCUCUAUUUUUAAAAGUUGAACUUCUUGUUAUUUUAUUUUUGAACUUCUUGUUUCCAUUCUUUAAUAACAAGGAAAAUCCGAGUUUUCUAUAAUCAUGGAACUUCUCCAUCUUUUUAAUUUGGACUUCCUGGUUUUAUUUCUUAACUUUUUUAUGAAUUCUGAAGCGCUCUAUUUUUAAAAGUUGAACUUCUUGUUAUUUUAUUUUUGAACUUCUUGUUUCCAUUCUUUAAUAACAAGGAAAAUCCGAGUUUUCUAUAAUCAUCGAACUUCUCCAUCUUUUUAAUUUGGACUUCCUGGUUUUAUUUCUUAACUUUUCUAUGAAAUUUGAAGCGCUCUAUUUUUAAAAUUUGUUGUCUUUAAAAUUUUCAAUUACUAAGUAGUUAUUCUACAUGACCCAUCCACAUAAUAAUAUAUGAACUUCUCAGGAACUUAUUUUUCAUUAAGCACAUUUAAGUACAUAAUAUACAGGAAGGAGGUCGAAGAUGUGAGCGCGGAUGCAUCUACAUGUAGGAAAAUUUUUGGGUGCUCUUCUUUUUUGAAUGUAGGGUGCUAUUUUUUUAAGAGUGCAAGGUCAGAACAAGUCUCAUAUCCAUUGAACAUCUACAAUAUUAACUCUCAAACAUCAGCAAAACAACUUGAAGAAAAACAGUACCAGUUCUCAUUUGGCAUAUCAACAAGCAUAUACAGAGCACGUAAUCAGAACCUACUCUCGGCAUAAAUUCACCAUGAUGUUUUUAUUGCAUGCUGGCCUGUUCUCCUGGAGCACAAGACAGAGGAGAGGCGAGACAUUGUGCAUGCUUCCCAACCAGUACUUUUUGAACUUCCAUAUUUUUUUUGGAACCAUGAUCAUGGGGAAGUUCUAUGAAAUUUGACGGGGAAGGUCGCUGAGAGAAGCGACAACAGGUAACACACGAGCGAUGGUGACCAUAUGGCCAGCUUGCGGCGAACCAGCAACCUGUACUCGAGAGAAGGAAGCUGCACUGCAGUUGAAAGUCCAAGAACCGAUGUCGCGUGAUGCCGAGCGUGGGGAAGAUGACCGGAGCUGGUGCAAGGGGGAGCAGGAGGCCGCCCCAUGCAUGCCUCUUCCCAUGCCUUGCCGGGGGUCGUGGCCGGCUGGAUCCAGCCGCCCGCUCGACUGGAUCGGCGAUAAGGUUUACGGGGGCGGCGUGAUCCGCGCGGUGGCUAGGUCCGCUGCACGGCGAAGGGAUGGUGGCGCUUGGAGGUGAGGAUGAGGGCGUGGCGGCGGGGUUCUCCGGGGAGGGCGUGCGCCGGCGUGGGGAUCGGGGAUCCGGGGAGGUGGCUCGGCUACGGGGGGAAGCGGGGGCGUGGCGGCUCCGCGGGCCGGGAAGGAGGCGGCGGUGGUUGCGAGGGCCGGGGAGGGAGGCGGCGGUGGCUGCACGGGCGGAGGGAGGCGGUGGCCGCGCUGGCCAAGGAGGGAGGCGGUGGUCGCGCCGGCCAGGGAGGAAGGCGGUGGUGGCCGCGNNNNNNNNNNNNNNNNNNNNNNNNNNNNNNNNNNNNNNNNNNNNNNNNNNNNNNNNNNNNNNNNNNNNNNNNNNNNNNNNNNNNNNNNNNNNNNNNNNNNNNNNNNNNNNNNNNNNNNNNNNNNNNNNNNNNNNNNNNNNNNNNNNNNNNNNNNNNNNNNNNNNNNNNNNNNNNNNNNNNNNNNNNNNNNNNNNNNNNNNNNNNNNNNNNNNNNNNNNNNNNNNNNNNNNNNNNNNNNNNNNNNNNNNNNNNNNNCUGUGUGGUGUGGUUCGUAGCAGAGGGCAGAUGGGAUCGGGGAGGGGAUCGUGGGGAUGGUGGGGGUGGGUGGAGAUUUUUUCCUUUUUUACCGAUUCGGGAGUUUGGAAGGAUCCCGUCACUCCAUAUAUAAGCACCCCGUGAUCCAAAUAGUUAUUUUGAUCCCAUGAUCAUAAUAGUGCUACUCUCUCUCUCUCUCUCUCUCUCUCUAUAUAUAUAUAUAUAUAUAUAUAUAUAUAUAUAGGUUCAAUAAAUGGGCCAUGUAUCGAUGUGAAAUGAACUUGUUAUGUUUGGGCUUGCUUUGCUAUUGCCCCAGCGGUUAUUUGUGACUUCCUUGAACUUGAAUCUGUCUUGAAAUGUUAUUGGAUGCUUGGUGAUGUUGCUUUAUAGUAUAAAGCUGGGGGCGUUGGGGGACCUUUUUAGUAGGUUUGGUUAAUGGAGUUUAGCUCUUAUUGUACUUAUUGUUUUCUUUUCCAUACAAUUCUGAACCCAAACUACACAUGGCACAACCUUCUGUGAUUAGUUCCUUUGAUAACUAGUACUCCCUCUGUAAACUAAUAUAAGAGCGUUUAGAUUACUAAAAUAGUGAUCUAAAUGCUCUUAUAUUAGUUUACGGAGGGAGUAUUGAAGAGCAGCCACAGAGUUCCAUUCACAAUUUACUUGAAUUUUUGUUUUGAUGGAUAAACAAAAUAGGAAGCUAGCAAACUUAUUUAACAAGAUAAGCAAACUAUGUACUUGAUUACAUAAGCAAACUUAUUCAACCCUGACAAACUAGACAUAAACAAACAGGUUCAACUAUGACACACAUGACAUAUACAAGCUGGUUUAACCCAAGAAAAGCAAACUACAAAUUUCAAACAAUAAGAUAAAGGACAAGCACAAGCGCAAGCAACACGAAGGCAGAUUUUGAUGUCUCCUCAUCCCGCAUAGUGGCAGUGGUAGGAGGGGUCCUCUUCCUGCUCUUUUGAAAUUUCCAGACCUCUUUUGAUGUUGUUGAUUAUCUUCCACGACUUGUAGGUGGCGUACGCAUCUAUUGUUGCGUACUCGAUGAAUUAAUCUGGCAGUGGGCUGACCCCCCACAGUUUAUGGUUUGCCUGCUUGUCGAUCUUGUUCUUCAUCUUGCUGUAGAAUGGGUGGAUGACGCUGGCUGCAACAUUAGCCAAGGAGUCAUACGGUUUUCCGUUGUAUGGAACUCUCCAGUUGCGCUGAAUGUCGAUGUGCUUGUUGGGGUUUAUCUCCAAACCAGACAUCUUCAACUUGUCCCUGUCAUUUUUAAUGCUGAAACCGGCAAAGGUGAACAACUUCUCCUCCUGUAGGAACUCUUUGAGGCGCUUUGGCCUGCUAGGGGAGAGACAAGUGAUGAAUACAUGGAGUACUAGUGUUUAUUUUCAAGAUUUAAUCAUCUGUUUUUUACGGUUUACAAGUGAAUAAUACAUGGAGUAGAUGCUUAUACAGUAUAAGUCAUGGAUGAAUGUAGUUCAGAAACUAGUACACAAAGUUCUGAAAUUAAAAUCAAGUACACCAUGUUAUUUUUCUUUUUGGAAUAUAUAGUUGAGUCAAUGAUCUAUUUGCUUUCUUAGUGCCAGUUUAGUUUUAUUUUGUUGAAUAAAAUAACAUAUACCUCUGCUUCACCAAGUUCUUAAGUUUUUUUGGUGGUGAAAAUAACACCAGACCAAGUUCAGAAACUACUUGACUACAUCAAGUUCAGAAAAUUAGACUAAUGAAUCAAGAUGAGAAACUACACUUGUACAUCAAGCUCACAAAUUAAUCUUGUGCAACAAUUUCAGAUACUAUUCAAGUGCACCAGGUUCAAAAUAUAUUCUAGUGCAUCUACUUUGAGGAACUGCACUAGUGCAUCCAUUUUCACAAACUACACUAGUACAUCUAGUAUGAAACUAGUCUAAUGAAAUUUUGAGGGAGCAGUAUUGAUGAAUGGAAGAGGGUGAAUGAGUAGGAUUUUUCACCAUUUUGUGGCCGCAGCAAUGUGGUACACGAGGCAGAGACCCUCCACGCAGAACUGCAGAACUGCUGCCAUCUGCGGAGGUUCAUCAUCUUUGGUAAACUCCACAUCAACACCGAUGAUGUGGGGAUACGAGCCGCAUGCGCUCCUCUUGAUCCAAAAGAUCAUCUCGUCGGCCUUGUCUGGUUCGCUAGUGCAGACGACCUCCAUCAUCUCCUUGCCGUGGAGCUCAACCCCUUUGAGGGUUACGGUGUACUUGCGCUUCUGACCGGGAACGUGAAUGACGUCAAGGUUGCCGCUCUGGUCGGACAUCUGGCCACAAUGACGCUUGGCAGACGCUUCCUCCGCCAUUACCCUCCUCCUACGACUGCGAUGUUUGUGGGUUGUUUGUAGAAGAGAUGGAAGCGGCAAUGGAGGUUCUCGGAAUGAGGCAGUGAUGUAGUCGAUUUGGGGCUUUUCCACGACUGGGAUGGGGACGUGGGGGAGGUGGUUCGUGUGUAGGAUGUGGGGUUAGUGGUGGUGGGGCGCAGUUGCAAUCCGACGUGGCAACUGCGCUCUAUGCACUGCUGGGUUUGCGUGCGUCUGAGUUUAGUCCCACCACGGGCCUGCAUCCUGGCCCAUAUCACUGGGUUUGUUGUCGUAUGCGAGCCGUGGUGUGCGAAAUAUCAUGUUAGGUAGGUGGGCUUUUUUCUAUAAAAUCUUUUUUUGCCUAUGUGACAUGUUGACUUAUACUAAAAUAACACUUCCUUUUUUUAGGUACACGUUACUUAUGUGAAAAGUUUAAGUUUGAUAACAAUUAAAAACAUUUAAAACCUUGCCACAUUGGCUUUCUUGGACAUGUCUAAAAAGUUUAAGUUUGAAAACAAUUGAAAAACAUGUAAAACCUUGCAUCAUUGAAUUUUAAUUUUAAAAUAAAUUUGAAAUAUUGCAGUUAAUUUGUAGACCAUCUCUAAAUCAAACCAAAUUUGUUUUACAUUGUCACAUACAUGUGACAAACAUUGUUAUUUACAGAUCAUGUGUGCAAAAACUAAGGUGAUUUAGAUGUGGUCGAAAAAAGGUGAUUUUUUUUCACCACCUCCAAAUCACCUAAAAUUUAUUCUACAUGCUCAAAUAGAUGAGCCAAACAUGUCUAUGACAGAAAUUUGAAAAAAAAUGUAUCCUACAAUUCCCGCUUAAGGUGUAGACCAUUGUUUUGAUCAGUCAGUCUACAAGGCAGAAUAAAUUCAAAACAAAUUAAAAAAUUAUAAAACAUUGAAAACCUAGCUAUGUUUGUGCAACAUAUCAAGUGUGCAAAAUUAGAGAUGAUUUAGAGGAGGUCAAAAAAAUCACGCUAAAACACGAGGGGCCAUUUGGUCUCACUUAAGCCAGUUUUUGUAUAAAAUGUGAUUUUUCUACCACCUCCAAAUCACCACAAAUUUGUUCUACAUGCUUAAAUAGAUGUGCCUAGCAUGUCUAUGAGAGAAAUUUGGAAAAAAUGUAUUCUACAAUGUCCGCUUAAGGUGUAGACCGUUGUUUUGAUCAGUCAGUCUACAGGACAGAAUAAAUUCAAAAAAAAUUAAACAAUUAGAAAACCUUGAAAACCUAGCUAUGUUUUUGCGACAUAUUAAGUGUGCAAAAUUAUAGGUGAUUUAGAGAAGGUCGAAAAAAUCAUGCUUAAACACGAGGGACCAUUUGGUCUCACUUAAGCCAUUUUUUGUAGAAAAUGUGAUUUUUUUACACCACCUCCAAAUCACCCCAAAUUUGUUCUAGAUGCUCAAAAUAGAUGUGCCAAGCAUGUCUAUGAAAGAAAUUUGGAAAAAAAUGUAUCCUACAAUGCCUGCUUAAGGUGUAGACCAAUGUUUUGAUCAGUCAGUCUACACGGCAAAAUAAAUUAGAAACAAUUAUAAAAUUUUAAAACCUUGAAACCUAGCUAUGUUUGUGCAACAUAUCAAGUGUGAAAAAUUAUAGGUGAUUUAGAGGAGGUGGAAAAAAUCACGCUAAAACACGAGGGACCAUUUGGUCUACACUUAAGCCAGUUUUUGUAGAAAAUGUGAUUUUUUUCCACCACCGCCAAAUCACCACAAAUUUGUUCUACAUGCUUAAAUAUAUGUGCCUAGCAUGUCUAUGAGAGAAAUUUGGAAAAAAAUGUAUCCUACAAUGCCCGCUUAAGAUGUAGACCGUUGUUUUCAUGAGUCAGUCUACAGGGCAGAAUAAAUUCAAAAAAAAUUCUAAAACCUUGAAAACCUAGCUAUAUUUGUGCAACAUAUCAAGUGUGAAAAAUUAUAGGUGAUUUAGAGAAGGUCUAAAAAAUCAGCUUAAACACGAGGUACCAUUUGGUCUCACUUAAGCCAUUUUUUGUAGAAAAUGUGAUUUUUUCCACCACCUUCAAAUCACCCCAAAUUUGUUCUAGAUGCUCAAAUAGAUGUUCCAAGCAUGUCUAUGAAAGAAAUUUGGAAAAAAUGUAUCCUACAAUGCCCGCUUAAGGUGUAGACCGAUGUUUUGAUCAGUCAGUCUAUAGCGCAGAAUAAAUUCAAAAAAAAUUAUAAAAUCUUGAAAACCUAGCUAUGCUUGUGCAACAUAUCAAGUGUGCAAAAUUAGAGGUGGUUUAGAGGAAGUCGAAAAAAUCAUUCUAAAACACGAGGGACCAUUUGGUCACUUAAGCCAGUUUUUGUAGAAAAUGUGUUUUCCACCACAUCCAAAUCACCACAAAUUUUUUCUACAUGCUUAAAUAGAUGUGUCUAGCAUGUCUAUGAGAGAAAUUUGGAGAAAAAUGUAUCCUACAAUGCCCGCUUAAGGUGUGGACCGUUGUUUUGAUCAGUCAGUCUACCAGGCAAAAUAAAUUCAAAAAAAAUUAAAAAAUUAUAAAACCUUGAAAAUCUAGCUAUGUUUGUGCAAAAUAUCAAGUGUGCAAAAUUAUAGGUGAUUUAGAGAAGGUCGAAAAAAUCACACUUAAACACGCGGGACCAUUUUCUCUCACUUAAGCCAUUUUUUGUAGAAAAUGUGAUUUUUUUUCCACCACCUCCAAAUCACCCCAAAUUUGUUCUAGAUGCUCAAAUAGAUGUGCCAAGCAUGUCUAUCAAAGAAAUUUGAAAAAAAAUGUACCUACAAUGCCCGCUUAAGGUGUAGACCGAUGUUUCGAUCAGUUAGUCUACAGGGCAGAAUAAAUUCAAAAAAAAUAAAAAAAAUUAUAAAACCUUGAAAACAUAGUUAUGUUUGUGCAACAUAUCAAGUGUGCAAAAUUAUAGGGUAUUUAGAGGAGGUCGAAAAAAAUCACGGUUUAAUUUGUGUGUGGGGGGAGGGGGGGGUAGACCUCCCGAGAGCCGUUUACUGGUCAUUUUCGUUCCGUAUAUGUGUAAACAUUCCAAAUUUUGCCCAACAUGAAAAGAAUAUUAUGCGUGCAUGCUCUAUGUGGUCAAGGGAUGCGAUGCAGCAAAAUUGGGAUCAUUAGUGCAUGUAUACGCAAGUAGGGUCUCUGAAACGCACUUUUUGGGGAUAGCCUGUCACCACCCCGAGAGCACUAGCUCGGUUUCUCACCUGUAUGAAACCAACCCAACAUUUUACGAUGACAAGUCAUGGCCAUGUUAGGGCUACUUGCCAUGUUUCAACCAUCUUCAACAAAUUUUGAAAGUGUCGUCACAUGCGGGAUUUUUUCGGUCAUUAGUACAAUGUGGACCAUUUUCAACAUUUAUUGCAUGUUUUGUCACGUAUGGCAUUUUUCAGGCAUAUGCGACAUGAAAAAACCAUUUUUAAUACUUAAAAAACAAGGACAAUAUUUUCUAGAUUUUUUGGGAUAUCAUUGUGAUAUGAUUGAAAUCUCACAUAACUCACGCGGCCCACCCCUCCCUAAAUCCCGCAAUUACAGCGCCUCAUUCUAACCACCCGGCCGUGCCAUCCACAGCUCCCACGGCUGCUGCACGAUCAGAUCGGAGAUGCCGGGCUCACACGGAUUACAGCAGUCGCCGGCCACCGCCCACCACCAUGAGGGGUCGGACUUCAGUGUUCUUCUCCCGCUCCCUCCGUUUAUCCUUGUCGCCGUCUACUGCACUAUAGGGGCACUUCUAGUUUGCGACGCACUGUCCACGGCCAUCAACUCGGCGCCGCCGUCUCCGAGAGAAGGUAUUUCCUGAUCGUAGCUUUUUUUAAUCGUUGUCGGCCGCUCCUUUAGUAGUUGAACCCUCAUAGGUUUUGCACAACUUCACGUGGUUAAGCAAUUGGAUACCCAUGUUAAACUACGCUUAUUUUAUGCACGACCAACUAGGUUGUGUGCUUAAAGUGAUAAGUGGAUCAUAUGUUAAAUGAUGCACUUAUUUUUUUUUAAUAUUAGUUGACUGCUAAUUUUGUUAUACAUCUUUUAAUUAUUGUCUUCAUAUUAAUUGACCCGGUUUUCAUCAUUGCAUACAAGCUAGCAAUGUCAGUUUUAGAUAAAAGUCUUUGUAACAGAGAAAAGCCUUGAAGAACUCAAACUAAAAUUUGACAGCAAGACCGUACGCAAACAAAUGUUUUUGUUAUCAUCACGGUCACGUAGAGCCAUGAGCAGCUAUGUUGAGCCCAUUCAAACACAAAUAGGUAGCAUCAAUUGAUACAUGAUCUUGCUCAUGCUCUACUUUUAGCAUCAUUUGAUACAUGUUCAGUUCUUAUCAUAAAGUGGAUAUAUGUACCUUUGGCAAUCAUGAGCAUCCUCUACUUAUUGCUAUAACUAAUGCAUCCUUAGUACAAAAAUUGAAUUGGCAAUACGGUUGUAUUGGCAAUGAUUUGCAUGCUUUACUUUUGGCAAGAACUAAUGCAUAGAUGAGUUAUAACUGGUCAUAGAUAUGGCUGGAACAUCUAGAGUUAUCAUCACGGUCACGCGGAGACCCUAAACCAUCACCAGAUAUGUUGAGCCCAUUCAAACACAAAUAAAGCAGCAAUUGAUACAUGUUCAUGCUCAUGCUUUACUUUUGGCAUAAUUUGAUACAUGUUCAGUUCUUACCAGAAAGUGGAAACAUGCACUUUUGGGAAACAUGAGCGUCCUCUACUUAUUGCAAUAACUAAGGCAUCCUCAGUACAAAGCUUCAAUUGGCAAUAGGUAGAAUUGGCAAUCAUUUGCAUGCUUUACUUUUGGCAAAAACUAAUGCAUAGUUCAGUUGUAACUGGUCAUAGAUAUGGCUGGAACAUCCUGAGUUAUAAACUGAACAUAAUCAUGCCAAGCUAUAACUACCAUAUUUAUAGUAAUAGAGUUCCUAGCAUGCAUCACCAUAUGAUUCAAGAACGGUUGAAUUAACACAGCUAACAUAACAUAGACCAUCGUACGAUACUUGAGUUGCUAUGGCCUUGUACAAUGCAAGGUGAUUAGGCGAGGUGUUUAGAGAGAUAAACCAGGCUUUUCUUAAGCACCGGUGCUUAUUUGUACAGGGUAGACGCAUAACUAGGCGUCUGUCCUGUACAAAUAGCCAAUGGUGCUUCAGGAAAAACCCAGUUUAUUUUUCUAAGCACCACCCUUAGCAUCUACCAUUGUAUAAUGCCUAACAUGCAUCAGCAAAAUAGUACUAAUAACAACUUAGACAACUUAAGCAGGUUAGCAGCAAACACUUAGAUAAACGGCAGAUUAACCACCGCACACCAUAAGUUCACACCCACCAUAGACCAUAGGACAUAAGUUCUUACACACCAUAGAUAAUAAGUUUUAGAGUCGACCAGUGAAUACCGAUAACAUAAAAGGACACGGCGGUCCUGGGGCAGCAGCAGUAGUCUAGCAGCACAUCACUUGUCUCCCAUGUUCAGCAGCGGCGCGGCGGGAUGUAGUAGGGCUCAUUGACUUUGACAAUCUUUAGGAAGCGCCCGUAGGCCGCAUAUUUGGCCAGAGUACUGGCCUUUUGCUUCCUACUGUAGGAGUUGCCAGUGGCAACAGCAUGCUGCAUCAAGCCAUCUAUGCCGCCCUUGAUCGCCUUGCCAUAGAAGGGGCAACCAAGCUUGCCAUAGAAACAGUACUUGAAUUUUCCAGCAAUCAGCUGCCUCAUGAUGUAGCGGCUCUUGUUGUGCCUGCUGUCCAUGUCAUACCCCACAUCAUCGUCAUCCUCCUGUGAAUUAGUACACAAAGAAGAAUUCAGUUAAUCUAUUCUGCUACAUUGCUCUUAAUUAGAAUGUUUGAAAAGUACAGACGUGUAACAUGACAACUAUCUAUUUGCUGGAAAUAAGGCGUAUAUGCACAUACAUACUUGACCCAAAUAAUUUGACAUGCAUAAAUAUGGAUGGUGGAAUAGUUGCAUUGAUAGAUUAGUGCACAAGAAGUACAUAAUUAACACAUGAAAGAAUUCAUGAUGUGGCUUGGUUUAAUGAUACUUGAUACUUGUUACAGGUGUAAUUCUGAUUGGAAUCAGAAAAAAGGCUUCAUUAUACUCCUCCAUGUUACACACAAGGGGGUAUUCUUCUAUCUACUAGAAUCAAGAAACCAAUAUUCUUUCUAAGAGCAGCAAUACUAAUUCUCCAACAUUGUUAGCCCCUGAUAACUUUUAGAAGGAAAUUGAUAAAGGAGCUAUGGGCUACUAUCUUUAUCCCUUAACUUGUGACUCUGAUGAUACCGGUGUGGAAAAUACUUUGGAGGAACUUAACUUGGAAAAGGAAAUUUUGUCAUGCAAAACAAAGUGUUUUUUGUCUAUUUAUUGGAAUCAGAAAUUGAAUUCCAGUUUUACAAAUAUAUGCUAAAAAAGAUUCAUUCCAGUGGUCUAAAAAAAGAUUCAUAAAUUGAAUUCUAGUUUUACAAAUACAAGUUGAGUAUUUAGGGCAUGUUGUCUAAAAAACAUUCAUUCCAGUGGUCAGAUGCUGAAAUUGAGGCCUUCACAACAUUGAAGAAUUGUCUGGUCACUGCUCUUGUUAUGGCUUUGCCUUAUUUGACCCUACCAUUUACUUUUUAAAUAGAUGCAUCAGGUGAAGGUAUUGGUUCUGUCCUCAUGCAACAAGGCAGACCAAUUGCUAGAAAAGGAAAUGUUGUCAUGCAAAACAGGGGUUGUCAAAGACAUAAUCAAGUGGUCGGAACAGGAUUCUUACUAAUUAAAUCUGAAUGUAGAUGCAUCAUAUGAUAGUUAAGAAGGAGAUGAGUCGACGGGUGGUGUUUUAAGAGAUCAGUAUGGCAACUUUGUGUCAAUUCAGUAAAUUACCAUUAUAUUGCAAAUGCAUCAUCUGCCUGCUUGAUGGAUUCAGUGGCAAUGAAAGAAGGCCUAUCUUUGGUAGCACCUGUAGGCUAUCAUCAAAUUAUUGUAGAAUGGGAUUUCUUACAAGUUGUUCAAGCUUUUACUCGAGGUAACACAUGGUGGAAUGAAGGAUCACGUAUUAUUGUUGAUAGUUUUGAUCUAGUUCUGGAGAUAGGAACUGCGCAUUUUCUCACUGUCCUCGGGAAGCCAAUGGUGUCGCACAUGAGAUCGCUAGAAAUAGCUAUGAGAAUCAUCUAUCUUGUAUUUGGGUUGAUUACCCCACUUCUUUCAUUCAUGUAUCCCUUGUGAACAAUGUAAGUUUGCUUAAUCAAUAAAACAUGCCGUGAUGGAAUCAGAUAAUGAAUCUCUGUUUUAGCUAUACUAGUGGUUUUUUCUUCUGUCUAUUCGAAUCAGAAAAUAAAUCAGAUUCUAAAACCAUCAUCCAACAAGAAAAUAUAUGCUGGAUCCCUAGCUACAAUCCUACAUGUACGCAAACAUUAUGGUUGGGCCAGUACAUGAGUAGAAAUACCUCAUCAACACGUGAAGAAAAUGAUUCAGAUUCAAAAACCACCAUUCAUUAUGCAAGAAAAUCUAUGCUAGAUCCUUUCAACUAGCACGCCCAUAUGAAAUUGAUGCUCAUGUACUUAACAAAAAAAAACCAAUGCCAUGAAAAAACAGAGUACUUACAGGAAAUAUAAAUCUAAUAAAAUCAGAUUAGUACCUCAGAUAGCUCGUCGAUGACAUCCUCAUCGUAGUCGCUGCCCUUCCUGGGAUCCGCAGCCAUCUCGAACUCUAUUUCCUCCACGUCAUUCCCCUCGUAGAACUCCUCGAUUUUGUCAUAGAGCUCGCGCUUCAGCCUCACCUUCUGCUCGUCCAGAUCUUCAUCGACCUUCUCCUGCAUAGGCUCGCCGUCGGAUAGCUCGCCGGCCGGGAUGACAGCGGGAGGAGGCACAACAGUUGCUGCACCGCCUCCAUCACCGCUACGGCGGACUCAGCCGCUGCAACUGCGGCGGCAGCCACGACAGCAGACUGCUCUCCACCGAUGGUUGCCUCCGGCUCUUCCAUCGCAUCUUCACGGCCGCGCUUCAUUGGCGGUCGAUGAGAGGACGAGGGACGUGUUGGAAGGGAGGAGAGGAGUGGAGUGGUGAGGAAGGGAGGAGGGUUUGGGAGAGGACGAGGUGGUAUGGCUGGAGUGGGAGAGGACGAGGGUUUUCUACCCGAUUUGUGGAAGAAAAUGAAUGCGGCUGCCUCUUCGAGUUACCGAGGGGUCGAGGGGGGUGAUUUGUCUCACAUACCAGGGCCUUCCACAGUGAGGACGCGUGGGGUUUGCCCUGCGCCAUGCACCUCGCGUGCGGUUUGCCCCGCGCCGCCCUUCAAACUGCUGACACGUGGACACCAGCAGUGGUUACACAUGAUAGAUAUGGUAAAUGAAUUUCUUAAAUCUGAGGGCACGUAAUUUGUAUCAAAAUGCAUCAUCAGCUUAGUGGUAAGACCCUCACGAUCACAUACUAAUGCCCUUGGUUCGAAACUCCGUCGUGCAGUUUAGUUCCCUCUUUUUUGCCUAUGUGGUUUUUACAUGUGUGGAUCCCACAUGUCAUUCACACACAUGGAGAACACGUACAAACAAACUUGCCGGACAUGAUGUAAAUGGACCCAAAAAAUUUCUACUUCUAUGUAUCAUUCUUGUAUGGAUUUUCUAGUACGAUUAAGUGCUUAAAAUACUUCUCGGAGGUGAUGCGACAAGCGCACGUUGUCGAUCCACUGGGGUGGCCAUGCCCACAACAAGGAAAAAUUUGGUGUCCUUCUUAACAUGGCCAAAAAUUCACCUCCUUCACCGGCGGCUGUUCGGGUAGGAGGUAAGGGUCCGUGUGGAAGGACAGUUUUUUCUCGACAUGCUUCAAAUGGACCUAUAUUCUUUCUACACCCUUGUACCAACAUGAGAAGCAUCCAUGACUAGUUCCAUUGAUUUUCGAUGUUUUUAUUAUUUUUCUAGGGUUAUCACGACGAUAAAACCCUAAAAUAUUUCCCACCAGCGCCACCCUUCCCUCUGAUCACUCUGACUAGCAUGUACUUAACUUAGCAUCAAGGCCAUGAAAACAGGAAUCAGAACCGUAUUAGAUUUUGAUCCCACACAUACAAAAUAGAUAACACAAAUCACAGAUUGCAGGUACUACAAUUAUCUGAGUGAACUUCUAAUGCAUAACAACUUCUGGUAUUCAAAUACAUCACAUGAAGUACUGGGACAACUAGAAAUGCAAAACAGCUUCUGAUGUUGAGAUUGAGCAAGGGAUUUUUAUUGUGAGGCGCAGCAUCUUCAGCAACCUAUCCAUGAUUCCACCUGUAGCAUAUAAGUAACUGAAAAUUUUAGAUUGAAUACAGUUGGUAUUGGAAAAAUGAUAGUACGGUAAUUUGAAGAUGCCAAGGAAAUCUGUCACAACAACUGUAGGAGGAUACAAAUUUGAAUACAAAGUUCAUAGAUGUCAAUGUUGAAUUAAUAAGACCUUUGUAAGAUGCAAAAUCACUGCUGUGAUGAGAGUAAACAGCAUGUAGGCCAUAGCACAUGCAAGAAGCACUUACAGGAAGUGAAGGAAAAGGUUGUACAGCACGGCAACAUGAGUAAGCCAACAUCCCUACUAAAAUUAUUUCACUGCUUAUGUCUAGUUUUUUUCUUGAAUCAUUAGGAAGCCCUAAAUAUUUUGAUGCAAGAUCACCGACAGGGCAUUAAUGAAAUAUUUCAAUGUCUACAUCUCUCUACUGAAAGGCGUUACUGAAAUAUUUCAGUGGCUACGUGUGUGUGUAGUGAAACAACACCACUGAAAUAUUUCAGUUGCUACAUGCGUGUACUGAAACAGCACCACUGAAAUAUUUUAGUUGGUACGUGUGUGUACUGAAAGUGAACCGCUGAAAUAUUUCAGUGGAUACGUGCGUGUACUGAAAGUGCACUACCGAAAUAUUUCAGCGGCUACUUGCUUGUACUGAAACAGCACCCCAGAAAUAUUUCAGUGGCUACGCGUGUGUCCUGAAACUGCUACACUGAAAUAUUUCAGGGGUUGCAUGCCUGUACAAAAACUACAGUAUUGAAUUAUUUCAGGGGUUGCGUGCGUGUACUGAAACUGCAGUACUGAAAUUUUUCAGUGUCUACCCGUGUGUACUGAAAUUGCAUUGCACUACUGAAAUAUUUCAGUGUGUACCCGUGUGUACUGCAAUUGCACUACUCAAAUCUUUCAGUGUGAACCGGUCAGUACUGAAAUAUUUCAAUGCCUACAACUAUCUACUGAACUUGCAGUAUUGAAAUAUUUCAGUGUCAACCCAGAGUCUAUCACUCUAAAACUGUGUACUGAACUUGUCUGGAGGCACUUCUUGCAGCCUCGAUGGUGCAAGUUCAAUUUACACAGAUUGCAUCACGUAAUUUGAACACAACUCUUGAGGUGACAGAAAAAAUUUCAUAUCAUGGAUACCACUCCAGAACAUCAAAACAUAGCAAUGAUGGUGAAUCAGAGUAUAGAUCUGAAGCCUAAAAAUAACUAAGUGAGGAAGAACAAGUUUCACAGUUUCACAUUAGAAUUUUAGAUCUACCGCAUGACAGGAAAAGGAAAAUAUUUAGACCUAAAGGUUGGUGCUUGAGCAGUUCAUGAAGUUCCAGAUCAGGUUUUUAUACACAAAAGAGAUGAUCUGAUGGCAAAAGAAGGAUUAUCAUUACUACUGCAUAAGAGUAUAUCACAUUUGGAGUCUAUCCUAUAGGACUUAAUGAAGAACAGGGGAAGAACACCAUGAAGCUUCGAGGAGCCCGUGCGAACCCUAAACAGAUCUAUGGAGGAAAGGAAGAAGAACUCACCAAAAACUGUUGAACAGCGGAGAGGCGCCGUGAUUUUCUGGUACUGGCAGGGUGAUGCAGCGGCCAAGGUCGGGGCAUGAUACGUCUCCAACGUAUCUAUAAUUUUUUAUCAUUCCAUGCUACUAUAUUAUCAACUUUGGAUGUUUUAUAUGCAUGAUUAUGCUAUUUUAUAUUAUUUUUGGGACUAACCUAUUAACCUAGAGCCCAGUGCCAGUUCCUGUUUUUUCCAUGUUUUUAACCUUUUUCAGAUAGGAAUAUCAGACGGAGUCCAAACGGAAUAAAACCUUCGCUGUGAUUUUUUAUGGAAAAUAUCAAAAAUACCAGAAAGAAAAGAUACCAGAGGGGAGUCCCGAGGAGAUCACAAGCCAGGUAGGCGUGCCCACCCCCCUGGGCGCGCCUGGUGGGCUUGUGACCCCCUCGUGGGUCCCUCCAACUUGUUCUCGAUGCCAUCUGGUCGUAUAAAUACAGAAACCUCCAGAAGCCUCUGUAGCCACCAAAAACCAAUCGGGAGCCCUUUCUGGCACCCUGCCGGAGGGGGAACCCAUCUCCGGUGUCCAUCUUCAUCAUCCCUGUGAUUUCCAUGACGAGGAGGGAGUAGUUCUCCCACGGGGCUGAGGGUAUGUACCAGUAGCUAUGUGUUUGAUCUCUCUCUCUCUCUCUCUCUCUCUCUCUCUCUCUCUCUCGUGUUCUUGAGAUGUAAUGAUCUUGAUGUAUCGCGGACUUUGCUACUAUAGUUGAAUCUUAUGAUGUUCUUCCCCCUCUCCCUUCUUGUAAUGAAUUGAGUUUUCCCUUUGAAGUUAUCUUAUCGGAUUGAGUCUUUAAGAACACUUGAUGUAUGUCUUGCACGUGUCUAUCUGUGGUGACUAUGGGAUAUUCAUGUGAGUACUUGAUGUAUGUUUUGGUGAUCAACUCGCGGGUUUCGUGACAUUGGGAACCUAUGCAUAGGGGUUGGCGCAUGUUUGACUCUCCUGUAGAAACUUUGGGACACUCUUUGAAGUUCUAUGUGUUGGUUGAAUAGAUGAUUCUGAGAUUGUGUGAUGCAUAUCGUAUAAUCAUGCCCACGAAUACGUGAGGUGACAAUGGAGUAUCUAGGUGACAUUAUGGUCUUGGUUGAUAUGUGUCUUAGGGUGUUAUUCUAGUACGAACUCUAUGAUAGAUUGAACGAAAAGAAUAGCUUCGUGUUAUUUUACUACGGACUCUUAAAUAGAUCGAUCAGAAAGAAUAACUUUGUGGUGGUUUCGUACCCGACAAUAAUCUCUUCGUUUGUUCUCCGCUAUUAGUGGCUUUGAAGUGACUCUUUGUUGCACGUUGAGGGCUAGUUAUAUGAUCCAGUUAUGUUAUCAUUGUUGAGAGAACUUCCACUAGUGAAAGUAUGAACCCUAGGCCUUGUUUCCACACAUUUCAAUAUCGUUCGUGCUCACUUUUAUUGUUAUUUAACUUGCUGUUUUUAUUAUUUCAGAUUACAAAAACCUAUAUCUACUAUCCAUAUUGCACUUGUAUCACCAUAUCUUUGCUGAACUAGUGCACCUAUACAACUUACCAUUGUAUUGGGUGUGUUGGGUACACAAGAGACUCUUUGUUAUUUGGUUGCAGGGUUGCUUGAGAGAGACCAUCUUCAUCCUACGCCUCCCAUGGAUUGAUAAACCUUAGAUCACCCAUUUGAGGGAAAAUUGCUACUGUCCUACAAACCUCUGCACUUGGAGGCCCAACAACGUCUACAAGAGAAGGUUGCGUAGUAGACAUCAGGGCAGAGGUGAAGGUCGACGGCGGCGGCAGCGCUCGAGUGCUGAGGCGACGUGAGGUGGAAGAAAGACGAAGAGGCAAGGGGAGAAAAGGAAAGGGACCCUCGGCCCUAUUUAUAAGGCGAAGAGAUAAGUGACAGGCGCAGGAAUCGAGGAGCCCAAAAAAAUGGAUAUGUCCCAGAGCUGUCUCCUCGAUUUUCGGAGGCUCAUUAAUAAAAGUAAGGUAUAUACAGUUUUUUAAUGAAUAGGUGAAGUCAUAGCGAUUUAUUAUAAUCCUGGAAGAUGACGUCAUGGCGGUUUAUUAUAAUCCUGUAAGAUGACGUCAUGGUGGAUUACAAGGUUUACUCGAAGGUACUAAAGAAGAAGUUUUUCUAAAGUGUUGAAGAUUGACAUGAACAGGUUCAAAUCAAUCCGGGGCCUAAUGUUGGGGAUAUAACUACUGAGUAUAAACCGCCCGGGAGGGGCCGGGUUAUACCUGUAAUGAGUUAUUCAUAUUGAAGCCCAUGAAGACAAGGUGUAUGAUGCUUUAAUAUAAGAGAUCUAAAAGCCCAAGGCCCAAAGGCGGAUUAGGGCCCAUAGACAUAAACCGCCAUAAGGUGUGUAACUUGUGUUGUAAGAUAGGAAAGAGUAGAAACUGAGCCGGACACGUUUAUGAGCCGGUCGGGAUUCUGUAAACCGCCGGGCGUCAAGCUGUGUAUAUAAAGGGAUGACCCAGCGGUGGUUCAAGGACAAGAAACAACAACUCGAGAGCCAGGCAAAGCGUAUUCGCUCCCUGGUCAUCGAAACCAUAGCAAUCCCAUCAUAACUGGAGUAGGCUUUACCUUCAUCGUAAGGGGACGAACCAGUAUAAUUCCUUGCGUCCUUUGUCCGCUUUAACCCCUUUAAGUUCACUACGUUGCAAUGGCUCCACGACUAAGUCCUCACACUAGGACAUCUGUCGUGCCAAUCCCACGACAAGCGGGGAAAUAUUUAACAGAGAAACAAUAAAUCAUAUCCUGGGGACUACGCACACAACCAGGAUCAAGAGAAUUAAACCAUGUUUUAGCAUCACCCUUUAAUCAGAACGGGAAUAACUUAAGGAUAAAGUAAUAGCGAGUUUUCUCAUCAUUAGUGAAUAGGGUGGCUAUAUCAUUUAAUUUAGUAAGAUGUGUCACAACAGUUUCAGAUUCAUAGCCAUAGAAAGGAUCAGAAUCAACCAAAGUAAUUAACUCAGGAUCGACAGAGAAAUCAUAAUCCUUAUCGGAAAUAAAGAUAGGUGAAGUAGCAAAAGCAAGGUCAUAUUUCAUUCUAGCAUUCAAAGACUUUUCUUUAAGCUUAGCUAAUAAUUUCUUAAGAUCAGAUCUAUCAUUGCAAUCUAAGAAGUCUCUAGUAGUUUCUUCAUCCAUAACAUAACCCUCAGGCAUAAUAGGCAAUUCAUAUCUAGGGGGAGAAUCUUCAUCAUCACUUUCAUCAAUAUUUUUAGUUUCAGUAAUUUCAUUCUCUCUAACCCUAGCAAGUUGUUCAUCAAGAAAUUCACCUAAUGACACAGUAUUAUCAAGCAUAGAAGUAGUUUCAUCAUAAGUGUCAUGCAAAGCAGAAGUGGCAUCAUCAAUAACAUGCGACAUAUCAGAAUGAAUAGCAGGAGUAGGUGUCACAAGUUUACUCAAAACAGAAGGUGAAUCAAGUGCUGAGCUAGAUGGCAGUUCCUUACCUCCCCUUGUAGUUGAGGGAAAAUCUUGGUUCUUUUAUCUUUCAAGUUCUUCAUAGUGAUCAGCAGAUAUAAAUCCCAAGUAACUCAAAGAAUAGAGUUAUGCUCCCCGGCAACGGCGCCAGAAAAUAGUCUUGAUAACCCACAAGUAUAGGGGAUCACAACAGUUCUCGAGGGUAGGGUAUUCAACCCAAAUUUAUUGAUUCAACAGAAGGGGAGCCAAAGAAUAUUCUCAGGUAUUAGCAGCUGAGUUGUCAAUUGAACCACACCUGGAAACUUAAUAUCUGUAGGAAAGUAUUUAGUAGCAAAGUAACAUGAUAGUAGCGGUAACGGUGGCAAAAGUGACGGUAGCAGUUUUGUAGUGAUUGUAACAGUGGCAGCGGAAAAGUAAGUAAGCAAAGAUCAAUAUAUGAAAAGCUCAUAGGCAAUGGAUCAGUGAUGGAUAAUUAUGUCGGAUGCGAUUCCUCAUGCAAUAGUUAUAACAUAGGGUGACACAGAACUAGCUCCAGUUCAUCAAUAUAAUGUUGGCAUGUAUUCAGAUAUAGUCAUACGUGCUUAUGGAAAAGAAAUUGCAUCACAUCUUUUGUCCUACCCUCCCGUAGCAACGGGGUCCUAUUGGAAACUAAGGGAUAUUAAGGCCUCAUUUAAUAGAGUACCGGGAAUACAUGAACUCCUCAAACUACGGUCAUCACCGGUAAGUAUCCCGAUUAUUGUCACUUCGGGGUUAACGGAUCAUAACACAUAAUAGGUGACUAUAGACUUGCAAGAUAGGAUCAAGAACUCACUUAUAUUCAUGAAAACAUAAUAGGUUCAGAUCUGAAAUCAUGGCACUCGGGCCCUAGUGACAAGCAUUAAGCAUAGCAAAGUCAUAGCAACGUCAAUCUCGGAACAUAAUGGAUACUAGGGAUCAAACCCUAACAAAACUAACUCGAUUACAUGAUAAAUCUCAUCCAACCCAUUACCAUCCAGCAAGCCUACAAUGGAAUUACUCACGCACGGCGUUGAGCAUCUUUAAACCUCGCCUCGGCAACUUGCAAUACCCGUCACGAAGCUUCAGAAGUAUAUCACCUCAGCGCAGGAAGGGAUGUUCAUUCCCGACAGAGAAAAGGACAAGCUGACUGAGGCCCUAGGGAAUGCUGAGCACCCUGGACGAACACGAGGCACUCCAGGCUCCAUUCUGUGGAAGUUUGGGUUUCCCGACGCAUGCGGUUACAAAAGCCGGGAGAGAAAGAGGAAAGAGGAGAUGAGCGACAUGUAGAAGCUCAAUGCAAGAGUACAAAAGCUAGAGGAAGCUGAGAGCAAGCGAGCUGCCGACCAACCAUCUCAGCGGCAUGAAGCUACCCCAGAAGCUACCCCGCCAUCUCAGCGGAGAAGCAGCGUGGCUUCCACGGAGCCCGUUCAUCCUGACUUCACGUCUCCUAGCUACCCCGUGGAUACUAUCACGGAGGCUCAACAUUGCGAGCUUAUGAAGAAAUGUCGGAACCUCACUUUCAAGGCGUCUACAGGUGAAGGGGAAAAUUGGCUGGUUCAUGCUCUGAGGAGUACAUGUCUAUGGCAGAAGGAGUACAUCAAACUUCCAAACUGGACGCCUCUGCUUCCUGCUCCUCCUCCGGCGAGUCAGGGCACUCCGCCUCCUCCUCCUCCGGCGAGUGAUCAGGGAACUCCGCCUCCUUCUUCGGCUCCUCCGACACGUGAGGGCACUCCACCUCCUCCUUCGCAUACUCCGGCGCGUCGGACUAGUCCGCCUCCUCCUUAGCCUCGUCGGCAAUGGCGGAAGACAAACGUCGUCACACCUGCUCCUUCGGUGCGUCAGAUUUCUCCGCCUCAUCAGCAACGACGGAAGAGAGACGCCGCCGGUCCGGCGGCUAGUAGUACAAGCAGAGGCGGGAGCCAAUUCAGAUACGGUCCAUCUCUCAAGCCUCUGGAAAGUUACCAUAUGAGAGGACCGAGUAGGAAAAUGAGGACAUAUGUCGUGCCCAACUAAGGGACCAUUUUGCAAAGAAAAAUCCACCUCUGAAGGAGAAGGUAGAUCCGGUGAAAGUGAAGCGCACUAUCAAUGCCCUGAAGCGACCACAACCGCCUCCGCCGGAUUCCAACUAUGGCCGCAUAAUUACUAAGACACAUGCUAAAGCGCAGCAGUCGGGAAGUACUUCUAGUGCUGCAAGAGCGAAAAAACGAAGAAGUGGGAAAACAAUUCCUCAGCUCAGCGAACUGGAGAAGCAAUCGUGCCCCCCGCUCAAGGUGUCUAGCGAUAUCGCUAAUCAUCCGAUGCUACUGCCCAGUACCACUCUUGAUGAUUACCUGCCCAAUGAUGUACAGUUUGAAACGGCUGAGGUAGUAGACGUCUUCAGAUACGAGCAUGGGAAGCCUCUCGUCAAACCUGAUCAUCCUCAUCUAACAACGAUGAUGCAAAAAUUGCAUGACUGGUACAUGGAAACCUACAGGAAGUCUGGGAAAGACAUUUAUUAGUCGGAAUUAAAAAAGAGCAUGACUUCCCUGGAAUCGACAUGCUUCCUGUUGAAUUUGUGGAGUUAUUUCAAUUAUACAAUCAAAAGGCCCUCGACAAACAACUCAUGACUUGCUACUGUCUGUAAGUAUUACUUCUAUAAUUAAGUCUCUAGCUCAGCUCGUUCAUUGCAUGUAUAUAUAAUUAUCCUCACUAUAUUAUGCAGAUUGAAGAUGGUCGAAUGCAAAAAAUAGGAAUCUUCGACGUUGGGUUCAUUAGCCCAAAUACCGUAAAUGAAUGGUCGGUACGAAAGGUGGCUGAAGAUACUGAGAACAACUUACUACAAACGUUCCUUACACAUCAAAACAAAAGGGAAAUACUCUUUCCUUACAACUUCAAGUGAGUGUUACUGUCUUCUGCAUAUUCGGUUCCACUUACCCGUGGUUAAAUAAUGUAAUUGAUGAGUUAUGCGUGCGUAGCUUCCACUAUAUUCUGCUAUCCAUUAACCUUGAUGGGGCAUUAGUAAUUGUCUUAGACUCGCUCCGUAAAGAUCCCAAGUAUUAUGCGGACAUGACUGCAAUGCUCCAGAAGUAAGUUCAAUCAAUACCGGGACCAUAUCGGCAACUUUUAUUCAUUUCCUGAUAUCAAGUAAUCAUUUUCUUUGCCUGCCAGGGUUUGGAAAACGUUCACUGCUAAGGUUCCGGGUCUGAAGAAGGAGCUGCGAUUUACACACCCCAAAGUAAGUAGUACAAGCUAGUUUCGCGCAUCUCUCAUUGAUUCUAGUUUAAUCAAUAUCAUUAUCAUGCUUGCUUAUCAGUUUGAUUGAACUCUAUUCUCGUAAAGUGCUUGUUGCAUGCACCCAACACUCAUUUAUGUGGAUACUACGUAUGCGAGUUCAUUCGCUACUAUACCUCUGAACGUGCCUCCUAUGAGAAACAAUUUGAAGUACGUAAACAAUAUUCACAAUUUUAUUUUAUAUAUUACCAUCAAUUGUGUUGAGUUUCAUUCAUAUAUAUGUAUUGACCCCUUCUUUAAAUUAGAUCUGGCAGAUGCGGGAUGAACUCCUACCACGUGAUCGCAUACGAGCAAUUCAAGAGGAAUUGGCGGGAUUCUUUCUUGACCACGUCAUACUUGAACAAGGAGAAUACCAUGUGAAAUUGAAAUUGUUGUAAGGGAUGUUAUAUAUUGUACAUAUGUAGCAGCGCCGGAUAGAUAUACGAAAACUUGUUGUUCGACCAAGCACGAAGAAAGAGAUGUCACUUCUCUCUAUAUAUGUUCAUGACGAUCUUGUAUAAUUAAUGGUUUCCUUUAGUUGCUUACUAGCUAGCGUCGAGUUCUCUCUAUAUGUGUAGUAGCUAGAGUCGACCAAGCACGGAAAAAGAGAGGUCACUUCUCUCUAUUAGCUCGCUAACACAAUAUGAAACCCCUAAAUUAACCCUUCAAAACCCCAACCCCCCCCCCCUUCCAAAAAACAAAACCCCCAGCGACUGCGAGCUGCUGACGCGUGGCCGCCUUUUGGUCCUAGUUGGUGUUACCAACCGGGACUAAAGGUCCUCCCUCCCCCGCCCCAGGCAGCGCCACGUGGAGGGCCUUUGGUCCCGGUUCGUAAGCAAACCGGGACUAAAGGUUUUGGGUAUUAGUCCCGACCCUUUAGUCCCGGUUCCAGAACCGGGAAAAAUGGCCCUCUGGAACCGGGACAAAUGGCCCUUUUUCUACUAGUGACUUCUCAUAGGAGAUACGUACUUUCAGAUAGACAUAAUUUCCUACUUCGAAAAUUAAUUCUCUUCUUCGAUUAUCUGCAUAGCUCUUCUGACGAGUUUGUGCCACUCUCAAGUUCUCUCUAAUCAACCUGGCUUGUUCCUCGGCAUUCCUGAGCACAUCUGGUCCAAAGACUUAACUUUCACCCGUUUGAUUCCAGAACAACGGUGUUCUACACUUACGCCCAUACAAUGCUUCAAACAGUGCCAUCUUUAGACUAUUCUGGUGAUUAUUGUUGUAAGAGAACUCCGCAUACGGUAAACUUUUAUCCCAACUAGUACCAUACUGCAAUGCACAAGCUCUCAACAUAUCUUCAAGAAUAUGAUUGAGCCUUUCUGUCUAUCCAUCAGUCUGAGGAUGAUAUGUUGUACUGAAAUUCAACUUCGUUCCCAAAGAUUUAUGCACUUUCUGCCAAAAGAUGGACGUGAACUGCGGACCUCUAUCAGACACAAUCUUCUUAGGAACUCCAUGCUGACAUACUAUUCUUUCCAUGUAUAGCUCUGCCAAUCUUGCCCCGCUGUAAGUAGUCUUGACAGGCAAAAAGUGAGCGACUUUAGUGAGACGAUCCACUAUUACCCAUAUAGAAUCAUAACCUUGCUGGGUGUGUGGUAAUCCCACUAUAAAGUCCAUUCCGACUUCUGCCCAUUUCCACUCAGGAAUCUUCAUUGGUUGCAACAAACUAGCGGGUCUCUGAUGCUCAGUCUUUACCCUCUGACAAGUGUCACAUAUAGCUACAUACUCAGCCACAUCUCUUUUCAAUCCAUACUAGCAGUACUUCUCCUUAAGAUUUAGAUACAUCUUAGUACUUCCAGGGUGGAUAGAAUAGGCUGACUCAUGUGCUUCACGCAAAAUUGUAUCAUGAAUGGCUUUCACCUCAGGCACACAUAUCCUUUUUCCAAACCAUAAGGUUCCAUUCUCAUCUAUUCUGAAGCCAGGUGCUUUACCAAUCACCACAUUCUCAGCUAUCUCCUUUAGCUUUUCAUCUUCUAGCUGACCCUUACGUAUUUCUUGCUCCAAUGUAGGAAUCACUUUUAUCUCCAUAGCACUAGCAACAAUGCCAAGGUUCAGAUGUUGCAACUCCGCAUACAACUCUUCUGCCUCUGGUCUCAACUUAAGAUUGUUGUCAUAUUUCUUCCUAUUGAGAGCAUCAGCUACAACAUUUGCCUUACCUGGAUGAUAAUGUACCUCCAGUUCAUAAUCCUUGAUUAACUCUAGCCAGCGACGUUGUCUUAAAUUCAGACCUGUCUGAGUGAAUAUAUACUUCAAGCUCUUAUGAUCGGUGUAGAUAUCACUCUUGUGACCAAUCAGAUAGUGUCUCCAGAUCUUCAAUGCAUGUAACACAGCUGCUAGCUCCAGAUCAUGAGUAGGAUAAUUUAACUCAUGCUUCCUCAACUGUCUCGAUGCAUGCGUCCGUGGUGGUGACCUCAUGUCCGCUCGCACCGUGUUCGAUGAAACGCCAACGAGGGUCAAAAGCUUCGAACCACAUCGGCAUCGCUCGGAGUAGCAACGGGUACACGCUGGAGUGCUGGAUGUGAUGCUUGGCCAUCUCCAACUCACGAGCGUGUAAGAGAGAAACCAUGAGACAGUAAUGAUUUAAUUUGGUUUUGCAAUGUUUUUAUUUUAAAAAUAGUUGGUUUAUCUUUGUAAAAUAGUUAAUUACAUGAGAAUUAUUGAACAAAAUAGUUUUUAAAGAGCAAUUUGCAUUCAAACAGUCUUCAUUCUUAAUGAAGCUACGAGUUCCCAUUUGCUCUAACCAAACGAUCUUCAAUUUUUGCCACCACAGGAGCCUUGUAUUAGCUCUUGCGGUGCGAGCGGGAGCUCGGAUGUCCGUGCGACGAAGCUGAUCUAUGAAAGUGGCCUUGGUGAUCCUGUGCCCCGGUUGGUAGGUUGGGAGACAGCAAGGAUGCAAACCAGCGCCAACGAUGGGCGAAGAUUGCACGACGGAUGAGCGGCGCUAGAGAUGGAAAGUCUGCUGGAGCAGUUUAGGUGAAAGGAUAAAGAUGUAGUUUUCAUUUUUUUUUCUAAUAAUGAAAGUCGGACUCAACUUUAUGGAACUGGGCCUUAUGACACGUAGGGCCCAUCUGAAGCUUCUAGAGUUGUUAAUCCUGUGGUUGAGAAUGUGUGUGACAAAGCCUGUGUUUGAGUAUUUACUAUCUAGGGAAGUAUAAACAAUUUACAAUCUCAGUGGACCCAUAAGCCAAUAUCCUUGAAUGUUUUUUUUUCUGUUUGUGUGUAUAUGUCGCAAGUUUUCUUGUUUUAUUUUAGGUUUGGUACUGUAGCUAGGUCUAGAAUAGUUUUUUUUGUUCUUUUUUUAAUUUCAAAAAAAUCGAGGGAUGUCUCAGUUUUUAUUAAAAGAAAGAAAUAUUUGGUCCAAAGUUGAAUGAGCGUGUCAUGCAGGGUUAAAUCACAAGAUAAACUGAUGAAACACAUGAUGCAUUAGUGGAUAAAUCACACGGGUGAUUUGAAGACAAAUUGAAAAACAUGAUGUGUUAGUUAAAUAAAUAAAUAUCAUGAUACAAUUAUAAGUAACCAUGCAAUAAACUAUAUGUCCAAUACUUGCACUCACAGGCAUUUUUGCUACUAUUAAUAAAUUGGUAAAAAUCAGAGAAUGCGAGGCGGAUACCAAACCUAGCCAAAUGGGCCGGCCUGGGUUAAACGGGCCCGAACCCCUCUUGCCCUCGCUCCUAGAAAAGCCGCCCGCCUCCGUCUCUCCCCCGCACUCCAUCGCCUCGCCUCGCCUCGCCGCCGUUCCCCGCAACCCCCUGUCUGUCGACCCAAUUCAUCUCAGGGAUAUCACCCGACGCCUCGUCCUCCUCUCCAGAUCAGAUCUUACGCCCGCCCGCCCGAGGUGAGCACAUGCUUGUACAUCCCGAUCAGCUUGGAGUUCGUUCCGAUUGGUUGGUAGGCGCGGCGCUGGUUCGAGGCCAGCGUGGUCUCCCUCCUCCUCCGGAGUUGCUCGGGCGCGGCGCGGGUUCAUAGGUGUCGGAUCCAGCGCCGUCUGUAUCCUAUUCGUAUGAGGAACCUCGGCUAGGAUAGGAUUUAAUUAGUUGGUUUUUGUAUUAGGGUAACACCACCUAGGGUUCGGUUGAUUAUCCGUAAGAAGGAAUCAAUCUGACGCUUUAGUUAGGGUUUGCUUGGUUGGUUGUGGUCAGAUUUUGGUUUCUCAUGAAUUCUUCAACUGUGCCUGUCGCGAUUUUGGGCGGAAAUUGAUGAUUGAUUUCGGGGGCAAAAUCCGAGGGAUUUUGUGGAUGAAAGAUGGGGAAACUUGGGGAAACCAAGCAAAUCCAUGGAUCAAAAUAAACAAACUUCAUCAUGCCAACAAAUCACAAAAAAAAUUUGGUGGGGAAAUUUCGAAUUAGGACGAAAAACAACAAGAUCAAAGCUAGAAAACGAAUAUUAAUUUGGAUGGAAUUCAUGCUAUGUUGUUCGAUUUCAGUUUAUGCCUGCCAGAAUGUUUUAAUUUUUUGUUUUAUCAACUGUGUUGGAGCGUACUAGAUUUUUUGUUGCAUAUUCAUCUUCUUGCUCUGUUUGGAUAGGUAACAAUUAAUAUUUGGGAUCCUAAAAUAUGUAUGCACUGGCAGCACUUAACCUGCAGCUGCUGAUUAAUGUUGUAGUCAUAUGUGCUGCUUUCCAGCUCUCUUGUUUGGAUAGGUAUUUGGUUAUCGUUUGGGUUUAUUUAUUAUCGUUUGUAAAUGCUGGUUUGGUUUUCUGUGCUCACUAUGCCCUUGCACAUGGGAUGCAAUUUUUUUAUUUCCCUGCUGUUUAGUUUAUUGUUUCCUUUGAUGGUGAGGCAUUAAUUCUGGAGAUAGAUGCAAUUUUCUUGCUCACACAAUAAUACAAUGAAUGAUGGCAUCUCUAUCUACUUUGAACCAAAUUAUAUUAUAUUCCCCCCUCUGUUAAUUAUUUUUCUGUUUUGGGUAUUCAUUCAUUUUGUUUAGUUGCCUAUCAGUAUAAAUACAUGGCUGGAUUGCUUUCACUUCAUAUUAAUAACUAUUCUGUCGCACAAUGCAAAUAUACAUAUGCUGUCCUAACUAAUUAAGUAGAAGCUUGGAUUGGUGCUGUAUGGUCUCUUCCUGACAUUAAAUCCUCCUCUGUUUGUGCUGUCUGUUUCUGCUGCUGCAGUCUUCUUCGCCGCCAAAAGGAAAAGAUGCUCUACAAAAUCCACUCCCAUGCCGAAAUCCAAGCCCUGCAGGCCCGCACCGAUGAGCUGGGCCACUCCAAUGAGCACAUGGAUGUGAAGCUUGUCUCUCUGGAGUCGGUGCGCAUAGCGCGCGAGUCGUAUGCACUCCUCCGCCCGCUGAUCAUGGAGUCGAGGUCCUGGGAAUGCCCGGAGCUGGAUUCCCUCUCGGACGUGGCAGGCUUGUCGCUGGAAAUCCAAAAGCUCGAGCAUGAUGUGUUACCCCAGCUCACGGUUCAGGAGGCUAAGCUGGAACGGGGUGCCCUGGAAGCCCUCCUACUCAUGAAGAGCUCAGCAGCUAAGCUCUUACAUAUGAGUAAGUGCUUGAAGGAAGCCUUGGGCGUAUUGCUUGCCGAGGAUGUCAAAAAGCUGAGCAUAGUGCUAAGCGAUACUGCUGUUCAUGUACUCAAAGGUAAGUUCAACAGUGGCUUGCUUCAGGAGCGUGUCCCGUGGCUGGUCGAGCUGGUCACCGAUGUGUUGGAGACCCCGGUUCGUUUCUGUGAUACUCGUAAGCGUAAGUAUUCUGAUGAGUAGACUUAUCAGCCAGCUCGAGGCUGUUGUGAUGAGUAUUUCUUAGGGGCGUGGCAAACAGUUUAGAAUCAACCCUUUAUGUUUGUAUGUGUUAUUAAUGGAUUUUAAAUGAUAUGUAUCUUGGGUGGGUAGUGUUUUCUCAUUCUGUGCUAGUCGGGUACAACUUGGAAUUACUUUCAGUUUUUUUUUUGAGAAACAUCCAUUCUGUUUUUUACUGUCACAUGAGGUAUUCGCUCUUUUUAGGGAAUAUAUAGAAGAAAAGAGGCAUACUUUAGAACGUGG